UGUUGUUAUACUAAACUUUUAUAUAAGGCUUUAUGUCAUGUGCUCAUGUGGACAUCUCUUCAAAGGUGCAGAGUCGCCUGCCUUGGAGGAUAUAUAGAAGCUCUCAAUGCAUACCUUAUAUGCUCAUCUCCACUACCAUAUAUUAUAUAAUAUAUCCAUACUUUCAAGGCUUAAAGAAUGUCAAGAGUUAAUGUAGUCAAUUAUAGACUCAUCUUUCUACUGUUUGGUAUUUGUGGACUCCAUUACACUUAUCGCUGGUUGGGAAAAAUAAUUGUCUUCUCGCUUCAUUUGAUCCCAACCGUCAAUAGGCUCAGGCUCAAGAUUCAUGCACCAAUCAAAAGCACACAUUUGGAGGGAAUACACAAAUUAUUUGACUAGGAGGUCACCCUUGUGCUAGCAUUAUUGUAUGUUUGGAUGAAUUAGGCAUUGCAUUGCUUUGGAAUUCCCUUUCUAUCAAAUUAUUGAAAAUUUAAAGGUUAAUAACCCAUAAGUAUUUGUAAGUUAUUAAUCCUCAUAGUCUAAGGUUUAAAUUACAUAAAUAUACUUCAUGAUAGUCCAUCAUACUAUGCUCUGAUUGUGUUAGGUAUCGUGUUUUAAAUCGCUCAUUUUAAUUGGAAAUCUAUUAUUUUUUCAAUGAAAAUAAUUUUAAUUUGGCUUGAAGUUAUUUCUCAGUUAAUAUAAAUAUAUGUGCAUACACAAGUUUUUUUUUUUAAUAUUUAUUAUUUGAAUUUUAUUUUAUUCAUGAUUUCUUUAAAAUAUUAUUUGUUGGAAUUAAUUGCUACCUUGUUAUUCUUCCAAAAAUAAAUUUUGUUGCUUAAAAAAUAAAUUUCUUCCUACAUUAAAUUCACUACUUAAAGUUAAUAAAAUCAUUUUCUCAUUUUCUGGUUUACUUUUAUUUAUUUAUUUUAAAUUAAUAUUUAUCUAUAAUAAGAUUUAUUUAUAAAAAAACUAAAAAAAAAUCAUCGUCUCAAUGUUUAACUUAUUUUUUAUUCUUACUUUUUUGUGUUUAUAUUUUAAUUUUAGUUUUAUGUUUAUUUUUAAUAUUUAUUUUUCACUUCUCGGUCAAAAUUUUUCUUUUUUAUAUACUUUAAUUUUUUAUUAUUAUUUCUCGUUGAUAUCCUCUUUUAUAUAUAUAUAUAUAUAUAUAUAUAUAUAUUAGAAAAAUAUAUAUAAAAGAUAAUAAUAAAAUAAGACACCAUGAAUAAAGUGAAGGAAAAAAAUAAAAUGUAAAAUAAAAUCAAAAUAUUCGUGGAGAAGUAAUGCUGAUGAUGAUGGAUGACCCACCAAACCAGAAGAAAAGCAAAAGGUGAUAAUAAAAAAAGAAAAGUGAGAAAAGAAUCAAUAAUGAGAAACGACUACCCUUAACUUUCUUCGUCACUUUCCCCCAUUUCACAAUUCACAGAGCCCUUAAAUUCACUGGAAGUCACUACCUUCCCAAUUCCUUGAGCUCCUAAGUUCCUAACUUUUUUCGUCACUUUCCGGAAGGUGACAAGAAGCCACUUCCCUUUCCCUAAUAAGAUUUAUCUAUAAAAUGUUAGAAAAUAAAUAUAUCAAUCCAGUGAAUUUUAUUUUUACUCUUUUUUUAAUAUAUUUAUCUUUUAAUUUUUUUAUUUUAUUUUUCACUUCUCGUCAAAAAUUUUAUUUUCUAUUUAUUUUAAAAUUUUAUUUUUAUUUAUUUUUAAAUAUUUAUAUAUAAUAAAUAAAUAAAUAAAAUAAAAUAGGAGACCAUGAAUAAAGUGAAGAAAAAAUAAAAUAAAAAACUUGGUGGAGAAGUAAAGUGCACCGAGUUUGAAUAAUGAAUGUAAAUAGGAGAAAAAGAGAACAAGAGAAAAGCAAAAGGUAAUAAGAAAAAGAGAAAAGUGAGAAAAGAAUGAAUAUAGUGAGAGAGGGAGAAAGAGUUGGCCCUAACUUUACGAAGGUCACAGCCUCAUAGGAAGCCAUCUGCCUUGGAAUCGGAUGAAAUUACUAGAUUGCCAUCAAUGUUCCGAUCUUCCAUUAGAUGAAAGGAUGGCAGUAUAGUAAAUAUAUACAAAAAUAAAAUUAAAUAAUAACAAAACUCAUCACGUAUAAUAUUAGACAAAAUAUAUAAAAGAUAAUAGUAAAAUAUGAGAGUAUGAAUAUAGUGAAGAAAAAAAAAUGUUAAAUAAAAUAAAAAACUUGGUUGUAUCCCAUUUGAAAAUAGAAGAAAACAAAGGUGAUAAGAAAAAAAGAAAAAUGAGAGAAGAAUCUCUAAGUCAAUAGACAGAGAGCUGUCCCUAAUUUUCCUCUUCACUUUUUGGAAUGUCACGGGAAGCCGCCAUCUUCCCAACUUUUUAUAUUAUAAUUUUUUUUUUUAUUGUAACUACGGUUUUCUUAUACUUAUAGGAUGUCUUAUAAAGUUUUUUUUUUUAAUUUAUUCAUUUUAUUUGAAUAAUAAUAAUAAUUUUACUGAUAUUUUAUAUAAAAAAAAAAUUGAUCUCUCUUAAUCAUUCAUAAAAUGAAUUAAUUUUUUAAUAAAAGUAAUUUUAAUUUAGAUUUAAAUUAUUUCUCAAUUAUAUUUAGAUAUAUGCAUAUAAAAAAGAUUAUUUUCUAAUAUUUAAUAUUUAAUAUUUUAUUUUAAUAAUAAUCUCUUUAUGUAGACCCCCAUUUGGGGCUCAUUUUCUGCAGCUUGCUUUUAGCCAGGUGUCACCAUAUGGGGGAAGCCACAUGUCACAUUUUGACUAGCUGCUAGAGAAUCACAAUAGUGGAGUUGGAGGAGCAAUCAGGGGUUGACACCUGUAAAGGUGAUUCUGAGAAAAUCUGCUGGCCAUUAGAGCAAGCUGGGAGUAGCGUAUGAAGGGAGGAUGCUUUUUUGCUGCCAGCUGCAUGGUAGUGGAGAGGGGAUUUUAGGCAGCUGCAGGUGAUUUUUGGUAGGGGGGAGAGCUUUUGUUUGGUUUUUUUUGGAGAGGUUCCGGGUGGCUGUUUCUGCAGAGUGGAGGGGGAAAAGGAGAGAGAGAGAGAGAGAGCAGAGGGGUUAGAAGCUGCAGGAACCGUGGUGUUUUUCAGAGGGUGUGGUGCUUUUGAGAGCAGGGGGAAGCAAGCUGAAGAGAAGGGAGCAUUUUCUGGAAAGAGGGAACAGAGAAGUUUGACGGUGUUACUUUCCGGGGAGUCUAGAGGUAGUUUCCAUUAGAGAGAGAGGGGAGAGCUUGGGCAGCAAGUUUCCAGAAUGAAGGGGAAGUCUCCAUUGCCGUUUUCAAGGAGAUUUUUCUAUAAGCUAUACAGAGAGUAGCUCUUGGAGAGAAGAAAAGCAAACUGAGAAGAAGAAGGUUCAGCUGAGAAGAAUAGAGAGAGUUAGAGGACUGGAGCUGCCGUGAGGUGGGUGACUCCAUUGCCAGAAGAGGGAGACUCAGGUAUGAUUUCCAUAGCUACAUUUAUUUUUCCAUGUUCAUGCCCUUUUCAUGGGGAUAUCUGAAUAUCAAAUGAGAUUCUAUCUGGAUGUUUGAAUGUGUUUACCGGGUAAUGUCGUCGGUUUUUGGGAUCUUGAGCUUGCUUAUACUCACCCUUUUGCUUGAUUUCUAUCCCGUUUCAAUGUCCCCUGUUUUGAGAUCUCUCGUGAGAUUCCCACCUUUGUUUUCGUUUUAAAACUCGUUUUUGGAUUUUCCUCUUGAAUUGAUUCUACAUCCGAGCUCAUUGAAGGGCAUGGGAAAUGAAGCUUGUAUGAACUCAUUUGGUUCCCAUCUGCUGUACUCUGUUCCACUUGAGCAAUAACCAGUUGUAUAACAUCAAGCUCUGUUUUGGUUGGAAACCAUUGGUUCACGCUACAAUCUUCAUUGGUGAGCUUGUGACAUCAAAAUCUCCGGUGGUGACCACGACUCCGAUUGCAGUUGACGGCGUUAUUCCCAUGAGAAAGAUCAGCUCCAGCAGGUUUCAGUGCACUCCCUGGCUGCAGGUAAGAAGGUCAUCAUUUUCUGUAUUCUCGGUGCUUUCACUCCUACGUGCAACAUGAAGCACGUGCCAAGCUUCGUUGAGAGCUGAAAUCAAAGGGCAUCGAUGAAACGCCUGCACCCAUGGCUCCAUCACAGCCGCCAUAGCCUCAUGCAUGACUGAACCCAUUCAUACCCAUUAUUUUUUUUCUACGUACCCAUCAAACCCGUCCAUCUCAUCCUCUGUCAUCCAUCUCAUGCAUGCAUCCCAUAUCCAUCAAAACCAUUGUUUCAUGCCCGUGUCUCAUACUCUCCCAUAUGCAUGGCAGCCUUCAUUACCCAUCAAACCAUCCGUCAAACCCAUUUUCUCACUCUAAGACCUUCUCAUAUCCAUUAUCCUUUUCUCACCACCUUUCAUAACCAUAUUUCCUGAUACCUAUCAUGUUUGUUUUUCUCACAAUGUCCUCCGGAAAAUGGGUUUUCUCUAUGAAUUUUUAAGCUGAUUGGGAUAAGGAAGCUGUCUUGUUUUCACCCAGAGUUAAGAAUGGUGCGAAGCUUCUUGGUAGUUCGGACGAUAAUGGUGCCCCAUAAUCGUGUAUGCUUGUACUUGCCAUAAAAGAUAUUGUUGCUCUUUCAUUACUGAAAACCCUUCAGGAAGAAAGGCUCCAAGCUUCUACUGAGAAUGAACAUGAAAUCAAUGUUUGCUCAUCAAACCAGAAAUCUUCUCUUGUUUAGUGUUGAUCUUGUGGCAGUACUUAUGGAAGAGAACCCAGACAUAGCGGGUGAGUUUCAGAGUGCGGUGCCGAUACAUGAGAUAUAGCACGCAUGAUGGAUGAAGAAGUUUCAACGCCUGUUGCUACAACUUCAGCGCUGGUGUUUGAGUUCCCAUGGACGGGUGAUUAUUCUAAUCUACAUAGCUUCAGCUAAUGGAUGUAGUGGUCAUGCACAGAAACGACAUUGCCCACCAAUGAAGACAAUGAAAAGCAUACAUUCAUUUCCGGGGUAGAAUCGCAGUAACUAAGAUGUUUUCUGCAAGCUUGCCCUCGGCAUUUCUUUGAAUGUGACCCAGAUCACUAGAAACAAAGGCCUACAAUUGAGGGAUUAUCUAUUGUGUCACUCAAAACCCAAAAUGUAGAUUAGAAAAUCCUCUUGUGAAGAAAAUUUCGAGUAUACAUGUUGUUGUGAAAGUGCUAAAGAGGGCCUUAAAGACUCAGGUUUUUUUUACUGAUUGUUGCUAAAGAUGUGGGCAGAUUUUGGCAUUGAGCUGGGCAGAUUUUGAUGCUCAGGUGGCAGCUGUCAUAGUUUCUCUCUCCGGUCGGCGUCGCUACAUGACCAGAAAUCUCGUGGCCUGGAAUAGAACCUGUCAUCUCUGUUUCUAGGAUCCCGACAAGGAAUGCGUUCAUCGGAUCCCCGUUCAUCUAGAAGAAACCUAUCCAAUUUCGGUUCCCACAGUUUUCGCCUUCAAAGGUAUACGGGUACUGAACCCACAGGAAAAUAGUCUGGGAAUUGGAUCAAGAUCAUCAAGGAUGGCUUCCAGUCGUUGAGUUGGCUUUACAUGGGAUAAGAGGAAUCUGAUCUUCACCGUGGCAUGUGCAUGGCCACCUUUUGGCCCACGUGUCACCUUUCAUUCCAUUAUCUUCCAAUCUUCUUAAAAUGAUCGACUCAAAUCUUCAUCUUGUGAAUAUUCUCUCAAAUCUUGGUUUUUAAAUAAUUUCAAAUCACCCAAAAUUUUCAUCCUUAAUUCCUAUUGGUUCCAAAGCUCCAUUUUUUUAAUAAAAUUUGGUCGCCACUUUGGCAAACCUUUUUCACUUUUUCAUACUUCUCAUGUUUUUAAAACGUUUUAAAAUAAGCGAAGACCAAAUUUUGUAAUUCCAAAUGAUGGAAUUUACAAAAUUGAUUCACGCAAAAAUAGAAAUGGGCUUUGGUAGGGGCUCAACAUAUGAGAUUUUAUGAUUGAUUGACUGAUUGAUUGAUUCAUUAGCUAUAUGUGAUUGAUUUAUUCUGUUCCUUGACAUGCGUACAAGUAUAUGUAUAUAUUCAUUGUUCACUGACCCUGCUUCAUGAUAGCGCAUUUGUCACUGGAAGUCCAGGUAUGCACUCAUUCUCAUUUUGAUUAUUCUCUAUGCAUGCUCUUAUUUUCAUAUAUGCAAGUUUGAUUUGAGUAUCUAUUGAUUUCCUCAUUCAUUGCCACACCAGCUUCAUUUUAUUAAUAGAGACCCGACUUUAGGGGCUUAGAGGGGUGCUAUGGUCCGUACCGUACCUUCCCGAUAAGUAACCUGACCCCCGAACCCGAUCCGGUUUUCAUAGACCGCCUUUUUCAAAAUAAGGAGUCACACUUAGGGUUUUUCUUUCUUAUUUUAUUUACCCUUUAAAAAUAAAACAAAAAUAAGUGGCGACUCCAAGUCAUUUUCUUAAUCAAUAAAAAUCAAUUUUUCAAAAUAAAAAUCGAGCUCGCCAUUCGAGUGGGAAACGCAUUCGAGCAAUCGAAAUACGGGGUCCACACUUUAGAAUGUUAUCACGAUUUUUAUUAGAAUUAUCAGUUAUAUUUUUAUUCUUCUCCUUCCAAAAAUAAAACCAUUUUGUACUUCAAAGAUAAAACUCUUCCAAUAUAAAUGUACUACUUCGAGUGAAUAAAAUCAUUUCCUUUAAUUUUAGUUUAUUUUUAUUUAUUUAUUUAUUUAUUAUAAAUUAUAAUAUUAUAAGAUUUAUUUAUAAAAUAAAUAUAUCAAUCCAUUCCUCUUUCUUUUAACAUAUUUUCAUUUUCAUAUGGUGGGUCAGGUUUAUUUUAAUUUUUUAUUAAUAUUUUUUAUGCCCUUAAAGAAAAAAUAAAAUAAAAAACUUGAUGAGGAAGUAAAGUAGAGGAGCGUAAUGAUGACGAUUGAAUGGCCAGAGAGAGAGAGAGAGAGAGAGAGUGGGUCAGCUGCUUUAAUUCAAGAUUGAAUGACCCGAGAGACACAGAGCUGUCCCUAACUUUCCUCUUCACUUCAUGGAAGGCGCUUUGCCUUCCCAACUUCUUAGUUGCACAAUCUCCUCAUUUACUCACUGUCCUGAAGAGAAAUCAACCCCUCUAAACUGUCUUUGUACUUUUGAGAUAGAAACCCAGAAUGGCUUCCACAAGCUCCUUCAGAGCCUCUUCUUCUUCUUCUACUCCUUCCAUCCCUCGAACAAGUACUUAUGAUGUUUUCUUGAGUUUUAGAGGCGAAGACACCCGCUAUAAUUUCACUGAUCACCUCUACAGUGCUUUGGGUAGGAGAGGGAUUCGCACCUUCAGAGACGAUAAACUCAGGAGAGGAGAAGUGAUUGCUCCAGAACUCUUGAAAGCCAUUGAAGAAUCAAGAUCUUCCGUAAUUGUUUUCUCUGAAAACUAUGCUCGUUCGAGAUGGUGUUUGGAUGAGUUGGUAAAGAUCAUGGAGUGCCAGAAAGAUCUGGGACAUGCUGUUUUCCCAAUUUUCUAUCAUGUGGAUCCAUCCCAUGUACGAAAGCAAGAGGGAAGUUUUGGAGAGGCCUUUGCCCGUUAUGAAGAAAACUGGAAGGACAAGAUACCAAGGUGGAGGAGGGCCUUGACGGAAGCAGCCAAUCUUUCUGGAUGGCAUCCACUAGAUGGGUAAAUUUAAUUUCCUUUCAACUAUUUGUAAGUAUAGGAAUGAGUAAUAUUUUUGCAUUUAUAGAGUCAUAAAGUUGAUUGAAAUAUUUAUAAACACAUGGGACAGAAUGUUUUUAUUUGGAGUUCUACUAAUUAAGUUGUGGAAACUAUAAGUUUGAUAACCAAAGGGAAUUACUGAAAACCUAGAUUAAAGAUAGUAUUUCUAUUUAAAAUACUUUUAAUGGAAGUGUUUUCUGUAUAAGUGUUUUUCAUAAAAUCAGUUGUGUUAUCCACGAAUUGAUUUUUUUUUAACUUUUUCAAAAGUAAUUUCUAAAUUUUGUUAACUUUGAGUCAGUUUUGCGGUGAUCCUAAGAAGCCUUUUUAAUUUAAAAGGUGUUUUUGGAGAAAAAAAAAAACAAAAACAGGUGUUUGGUAAAAUAUAUGAAAUACUUUUAAAAAUAUAAAAAUUCGGUUGAGUGUUUUAUAGAGAAAGAUUUGAUAGGUGAUUCCUUUGAAAACACGUAGGGCGGUGUUUGGUAUACGAGAAUAAGAAUGAAAAUGAAUAUUUUGUUUCUAUUCCUAUUUUUUUUAUGAAUGAAAAUGAAUUUGGUGAUUCUAUUUUUAGGGUUUGGAUGAACUUAGGAAUUUUUGGAAUGUUAUUUGUUUUCAUUAUAAUAUUCGGUAAUAAUAGGAAUGAAAAUGAAAAAUAAAUAAACUGACAAUAAUACCCUUCCUAGUUUAAAAUAUUUUUUUUAUUUUCAUCUAAAAAUAAAUAAAUUUUGAGAGUUUUUUUUUUUUUCUAAAUAAUAAGAUUAAAAAAAAGUCUUAUUAGGGGAUGAAGAGGCAUGAGGCUUGAUGAAUGAAAUUCAAGUUUAAAAUAGUAAUUUUAAACUAUUUUAUAUUUUCUCAUAGGAUGAAUGAAUCAAAAUACCACCUACUUGCAAUGAAUUAAAAUCCCACUUAUAAGUGGGAUUUAAUUUCUACUGGAAUCAUUUUUUAUUUCAUUCCUACCUUUAUAAAAUUUAUCCAAAUAUGGGAAUGAGAGAGGGAAGGAAUGAGAUUUCUAUUCCCACUCCUCAUUCCCACGUACUAUUAAAGAAAGCACUUUCAUUAAAGAGAUUUGAGUAGAAUUACUCUCAAACACCUUUAAAAACAUUUAUUAGGUUAAAAGUCCUUUUUAGAAAAUGGGGUUUUCAAACUUAAAAACUUCUUAUAUUUAGAUGUUGAGUACUACAUCUGGAAUGAAGCUUCAAGCAUUAAUUAUAAGAUAUAAAACAAUAGUCAAAGAAUAAAAUAUUUGCUCCUAUAAGGUUUUCAAUUGUCAUGGGAUGUUAAAUAGUUUUUUGAAAUGUACAUGAAUGAUAAAGUAAUAUCUUGAUUCAUAAUCAUCGUACUUAUUAUGGCAUAAAAUUUCCAUUUGAAGUUAUGCCACAAGCAUCACCAAUAACAAAAUUCAUAUUUUAUUCUUCAUUUUCAUGCAUACUCGAUACAAUAAAAAAUGUCAUAAAAUGUAAAUGAACUAGUGUUUUUUUUAUAUAUUCUGUUUUACUACAAUUUAUUUGUUGUAAAGAUGGUAAACUUAAUGUGUAUUAUUUACCAUUGUCACUCAUUGCUCAACAUAUUGUAUUUUUAUAAUUGGCAGGUACGAGUCCGACUAUAUUAAGGAAAUAACUAAUAACAUAUUCCGUCGAUUAAAUUGUAAGAGGCUUGAUGUUGAUGCCAAUUUAGUUGGUAUAGAUUCCCGUGUAAAAGAGGUGAGUUUGCGGUUGCAUAUGGAAUCAAGUGAUGUUCGUAUUGUUGGGAUAUAUGGAGUUGGUGGGAUAGGCAAGACAACCAUCGCAAAAGUUAUAUAUAAUGAACUUUGUUGCGAAUUUGAAUAUAUGAGCUUUCUUGAAAAUAUUAGAGGGAUUUCCAAUACCAAAGGUUUAACUCACUUACAAAAUCAACUUCUUGGUGAUAUCCUAGAGAAAGAGCGAAGUCAAAAUAUAAACAUUGUUGACAGGGGAGCAAGUAUGAUAGGGACCAUUCUCUCAUCUAAAACAGUUUUUAUUGUUCUUGAUGAUGUUGACGAUCGAAAUCAAUUAAAAGCUCUACUUAGACAUUGUGGAUGGCUUGGAAAAGGAAGCAGAGUCAUCAUAACAACUAGAAAUAAACAUUUGUUAAUUGAACAAAAAGUGGAUGAAUUAUAUGAGGUUGAGGGAUUGAAUUCUAAAGAAGCUUGUGAACUUUUCAGUUUGCAUGCCUUUAAACAAAAUCUUCCCAAAUCAGAUUUUAUAAACCUCUCAUGGCGUAUGGUAGACUAUUGUCAAGGCCUUCCAUUAGCUUUGGAAGUUCUAGGUUCUCUCUUAUACGACAAGACAAUACCUUAAUGGGAAAGUCAAUUGCAUAAAUUGGCCAAAGAACCUGUGCCGGAAAUUCACAAGGUGCUUAAAAGUAGCUAUGAUGGAUUAGAUCUUACAGAAAAAGAUAUUCUCCUUGAUGUUGCAUGUUUUUUUAAAGGUGAAAAAAGAGAUUUUGUGUUAAGAAUAUUAGACACUUGUGCGGGAAUUGGAAUACAAAAUCUAAAAGACAACUGUCUUAUAACUCUCCCAUACAACUGUAUAGGUAUGCAUGAUUUGAUACAACAGAUGUGUUGGAAAAUUGUUCGUGAAAAUUUUCCUAAAGAGCCGGACAAAUGGAGCAGAUUGUGGGAUCCCCAUGAUAUUGAACGUGCACUUACAACAUCUGAGGUAAUAGCCAAAUGCAUAAAUUCACUUAAGCUCUAGUUAAACUGUGGACCCCGCAUUUUCGUGCUCAUGCGUUUCCCACUCGAUGGCGAGCUCGAUUUUUAUUUUAAAAUGAUUUUUAUUUAUUAAAAAGCAAUGACUUGGAGUCGCCACUUAUUUUUGUUUUAUUUUUAAAAGGGUAAACAAAAUAAGAAAGAAAAACCCUAAGUGUGACUCCUUAUUUGGAAAAGGUGAUCUACGAAAAACCGGAUCGGGUUCGGGGGUCAAGUUACUUAUCGAGAAGGUACGGUAAAGACCGUAGCACCCCUCUAAGUCCCUAAAGUCGGGUCUCUACUAAUAAAAUGAAGCUGGUAUGACAACCAAUGAGAAAGUCAAUGAAUACUCAUAUCGAUCAUGCAUGUAUGAGAAUUAGAAACAAGCAUAAGGAGUGACCAUGAUGCGAGAAAAUACAUACCUGGGUGGCGAACCAAUAUGUGCUAUCAAGAGGAGGGUUAGUGUACAAACACAGAAGGAUAAUGUGUAUAUCAAGGAACAGAGUAAAUCAAUCACAUAUAGCUAAUGAAUCAAUCAAUCAGUCAAUCAAUCAUGAAAUCUCAUAUGUAGGACCCCCACCAAAGCCUGUUUAUUUUUACAUGAAUUAAUUCCAUAAAUUCAAUUAUUCGGAAUUACGGAAUUUAAAUUCAUGUUUAUUUUAAAACAUUUUAAAUCAUGAAAAAUUCGAAAGGGGCUCGCCAAAGAAAAUGGCGGCCAAAUUUUAUUGAAAAUAGGAUUUUUGAUGAACCUAAGCAAAAGAAAAUCUAAGGAUGAAGAUUUGAAAAAGUUAAAAUUAUUUAGAAAUCUAGAAAUUGGAAAAACCAUUUGAAAACCGGGAAUUGAGAAAUUAUUUUAAAAUCGAAGACGAUGAGAUACAAAGAAAGGACACGUGGUUCGAAGGUGGCCAUGCGAACCAUGCAGCGAUUUGGUGCAUCUACAUAUCCAUCCUUGCCAAUGAGGCUUGAUUGGGUGCUUCCCCAAGCCAAGUCUGCUAACUGUUGGGACCAUUAUUGGCAAGCCCAAGUUAAGUCAUAUAGGAUUUCACACAAUCAUUAGAGCAGCCGAUUGUCCAAAUAAUCACAGAUUCAUCGCUUUUGUGAUCAACCCUUUCAAGUACAGCUCAAACCUGCUUGAGGCGGUCAAGAAUUCUUCACUUAGCUGCAUAGUCAUUGCAAAAGGGCACAGUGGUAGAGCUGGACGUGCCAUUGUCAAUCUCUAUCAUGCUUACCAUUUCAGGAAUAAGGCCAAGUAGGAAUAAGGGGCACCAAGACCUACAGCAGCAAAGACUGCCUUUGGAAGAAAUAUUUGUGCAGCCAAGAACGAUGGUAAGGCUGCAAGAGAAGGCAUUUGUUUACCAGACGCGAGGCAUUCGGGUUGAGAACACCACCCAGAACUAUACCAUCUGAACCUGCUAAGGACACACUCAAACCACCAGUUCUAUGGCAGCUACCAUUAUCUUCUGAAAGCAAGAAGAAGCCUGACAGAGAGAUAAUAUCAAAUCGACCCUCAUAUGAAACAGUAUCACCAGACAUAGCUGACUGGCGAAGGGUAACAUUGCAGAUGACACCAUUUGCAGAGAGGAUGUAAACUGUUCGGGGCCUUCUUUUCAAUUCCUCAACCAGUUUGUAAAACGUCCUCUCCUUGCAUCAAAAGUCCCACAGCUCUUAAAAGGCAUUGAGAGCAUAAAGCAGGCUGACCGAAACCCAGCUCGCGGCUACAAAGACGAGACCCCAUGCACGAGGAUUAGGCAUGCUCUAGCAAGGUAUUUUACACCGAGAUUUGCAUAUUACAGAUGUUACAACCAGCAACUUUGGAGUGAGAAACUUCUCCUCUGCCCAAGUUGCGGAUCCCUUAAGCAAAUGCUUCAAGUGGCACUGACGUGAUUUAUCUCUUGGGUCAAAUCUAUGCAGGUUUACAGAUGACCUAUGAUUGCCAUCUGGAGGGGUUUCAUGAUGGAAAUAACCACGUAACUGCUGUGUGGAAUAAGAUAAGAGUCCUAGGACCUAAGGAUGCAUUUGGAUGGAAAGAAGAAACUCAGCCACAAAGCAGCCUGCAGACCACAUAUCACUGGCAGUUGUAUAUUCUGUAGCCCUAAAGAUCAGUUCUGGAGCUCUAUGAUACCUUGAGCAAAUAUAUGACUUGUUUGGUUCACCUGGCACCACCUUCUUUGAGCUUCCAAAAUCACAUAUAUGCAGCUGAUGAGUGUGGGGAUUGACCCAUAAAUUUUGAAGCUUGAUAUCACAAUGACAGACCCUAAUAGCACUGUGCAUGCAGUUAAGUGCAUGACAGAUCUGGUAUGCAUACAAUUGCACUUAUAUAAUGGGCACAUGCUGGUCCUUCCUGCUGUGAUGUCUUGAAACUUGGUAUGCAGUUUCAAAUACACCUUCAAGAGCAAGAUUAAGAUACACUGCAUCUCUUUCAUUUCGAUUCUCAGUCACAUCCUCAACAAUUGCUCGUCUGAACAUCAACAUCACACGGAAGAACAAUAGCAAACUCAGGCUGUGGCAUAUUGCUUCCAUAAUGUUUGUUUCCAUUGGCAAUGUUUACUAGAAUUCUAGUGGAUUCUUGGACUUCAACUAGCUGUUGGAGUUCUUGGGCCUUUGGAAUUACAUGAUCCUUCAUGUAUGCCCAAUCAGGCAUCUUCCACAGACUAUCAAACAGAGCUUCAUAGUUCUCUAUACUCUUACCAAAGUCUACCAAUGCAUCCCACUGACUAAGCUGAGUAGCACAAUAAAUCCAUUGCUCCUCACAAAGACAUCCCAAUACAGGCAACCAACUCCAAACAUGAUACCCACACUAGAUAUAUCAGAGACAGAAGACACAGUGAAGGAAAAUAGAGCAUGUGAAAGAAGUAACACGAUUAAAUCUGUCUUUCCUCCAUGAAAACAAAGAGAGUUAAGAACUGGUGGGAAGUUUUUGAGUCACUUUAACACAAAUAAAUAGUAUAAUCACAAUGCAACCCAUACAGAGAGAAAAAAGAAAAACAAACAGAGACUAAGCAAAUGGAAGCUGGGAAACAGGUUUAACAUAUUAGACAGCCAAAAUACACAUCCAAAUAUCAGAAAGAAAAAUGGAAAGACUGAAAUAAUGGAGAACUCAAGGUGUAAAAACAGCUAAACCUGAGCGAUCCUUUCGAUCAAAAGUCGUUUGAUUCUCAGCAAGCCGCAACCUCUUUCCUCUGUUCCUUGCUUCUUCUGUGAAAGCUCUCUCUUCUCUCUCAAGUCACUCUAUGUUUCCUUCCCUGGACGUCUUGCCCUCCGAAUCACCUAAAGAUAUCCCUCUAAAACCCAGCAAAGACCAUGCCUCCUCUCUCACAGUUUUCUCUCUAGAAAAACCCCUCUACCAAAAGCAGUCCGCUCUCCAAAUAUCUCCUCUGUCUUUUCCAGCUUCUCCUCCCAGAAUCCUUCUCUCUAACCUCUCCCAGCUCUCUGCUACUCUAUCACCAGCCAAAACAGCAGCCAAAAGUCACUCUCUCUUGCAGCUGGCAGCUCCAGAUAUCCUCAACGGCCAGACGACACCACCUUCCAGCUGCCUGCCUCCACUACCAUGCAGCUUAACGGUUUUCAGCUUUUCUGCUGAAUAUAUCUCCACGUGUCAAGCUUCCAUUGGCCAUCAAAACCACUAAUUUGAUUCUUUACUAGUCAAUCUGGAAGAGACACGUGGCUCCUUGAGAGCCUUCCACCUGCAAAGAAAAACUUACAGCAAAUGUGAUAAGACAUGAGCCCCUAAAUGGGGGUCUACAUAAACAUAUAAAUCUCAAUAAUAAUAUCAUUCUUGUAUAAGAACUUACAUAUCCAUAUAAGUUAAGUUAGUUUGUAUUUAUGUUUGCCUUAUCCUUGUUAUUUUUCAGGGAAUAAAAGGAGUCGAAACAAUAGACUUGGACUUGUCUAAGUUAAAAAGAGUACGCUUCAAUUCAAAUGUUUUCUCAAAGAUGACUAGCCUUCGAUUGCUCAGAGUUCAUUCAAAUGACUAUUUCUAUCCUUAUUCUUAUGAUAAUAUGGAGGAGGAGAAGGUAGAUCGUUAUUGUGAAGAAAUGAUUGAUUCUGUAAUGAAAACUGCUUCUAAAAUGCAUCUUGACCCAGAUUUUGAAAUCCCUUCUUAUGAGUUAAGGUAUCUUUGUUGGGAUGGGUAUCCUUUAGAUUUUUUACCAUCAAAUUUUGAUGGAGAGAACCUUGUUGAACUUCACUUAAAGUGUAGCAACAUAAAACAACUAUGGCAAGGGAAGAAGGUAUUAUUAUCAUUUAAUAAUGACUUCUUUUGCUUUAUAUUGAUUUUAAAAUUUCUAAUAGUUAUUUCUUUUAUUGAAACUAUUUUCUUUUGGUACAGGAUCUUGAAAGUUUAAAGGUCAUUGAUCUAAGUCACUCAAACAAGCUCGUUCAAAUGCCAGAAUUCUCAAGCAUGCCAAAUUUGGAAGAACUAAUUCUUAAAGGUUGUGUAAGCUUGAUCGAUAUUCACCCAUCUGUUGGAGUUCUCAAGAAGUUUACUACCUUAAAUUUGACGAGUUGUGUUAAGCUUAAGGGUUUACCAAGUAGCAUUAGCAACUUGGAAGCUCUUGAAUGUCUCUAUCUUACUAGGUGCUCAAGCUUUGACAAGUUUUCAGAAAUUCAAGGAAAUAUGAAAAGUUUAAAGUUUCUAUAUUUGCGCAAGACUGCUAUUAGAGAACUUCCAAGUAGCAUUGACUUAGAAUCUGUUGAGAUUCUUGAUCUCUCUGAUUGUUCCAAGUUUGAGAAAUUUCCAGAGAAUGGAGCAAACAUGAAAAGUUUAUAUGAUCUUAGUUUAGAGAAUACUGUUAUUAAAGAACUCCCAACAGGUAUUGCCAACUGGGAAUCUCUUCAAACUCUUGAUCUCUCUAGUUGCUUAAAGUUUGAGAAAUUUCCGGAGAAGGGAGGGAACAUGAAAAGUUUAAAGAAGCUUUGUUUUAAUGGUACUGCUAUUAAGGAUCUGCCGGAUAGCAUUGGAGACUUGGAAUCUCUUAAGAUUCUUGAUCUCUCUUAUUGCUCAAAGUUUGAGAAAUUUCCAGAGAAGGGAGGGAACAUGAAAAGUUUAUGGAAGCUUAAUUUAAAAAAUACUGCUAUUAAGGAUCUGCCGGAUAGCAUUGGAGACUUGGAAUCUCUUGUGAGUCUUGAUCUCUCUAAGUGCUCAAAGUUUGAGAAAUUUCCGGAGAAGGGAGGGAACAUGAAAAGUUUAAAGCGACUUUAUUUAAACAAUACUGCUAUUAAGGAUCUGCCAGAUAGCAUUGGAGACUUGGAAUCUCUUGAGAUUCUUGAUCUCUCUAAGUGCUCAAAGUUUGAGAAAUUUCCAAAGAAGGGAGGGAACAUGAAAAGUUUAAAGAGACUUUAUGUAAAAAAUACUGCUAUUAAGGAUCUACCGGAUAGCAUUGGAGACUUGGAAUCUCUUAAGAUUCUUGAUCUCUCUUAUUGCUCAAAGUUUGAGAAAUUUCCGGAGAAGGGAGGGAACAUGAAAAGUUUAAAGCAGCUUUAUUUAAUAAAUACUGCUAUUAAGGAUCUGCCAGAUAGCAUUGGAGACUUGGAAGCCAAUAUUUACAUAAUAAUUUGUGCAGGAGUUGAAAAGUUGGAAACUCAGUGCUUGUAUUCCAGAAAGUAGUGGAAUUCCAAAGUGGAUAAGGUAUCAAAACUUGGGGAGUGAAGUUUUUAAAUUUCCCUCCAUUAUAUAAAAAUUAAAUAAUUUUAAAAUGCAUAAAUUUAUAUUUGCGGCAUCAAUUUUAUAUUUGCGGGAGAUCAACAAAAUUAUAUGCCCUUGUUGGAGCAUCCCCAGAACUCUGGUGACAAUGGAUCAGCAUUACAACAUACCAAUGGUAAUGUUCAUGGGGCUAAUCAAGAUGAUGAACACUACCAGCAUAUUCCCGAGUUGUUAGAUCUUCUCAGGAAUUUUGGUGACGAUGUAUCAGCAGUACUUGAAGACAAUGAUGGGAACCGUAACAGAAGACGUGAUGAUUCCUUACCCGAUGCCUCAACAUCGAUCUCUCGCUUUGAACUCCAUCACUAGGUGCAUUAUCAACCCUUUUUCAAUAUUCUAACCCCUCUCCUUUUUAAAUUAUUUUUGAAGUCAAUAAACUAUUUUAUAUGUUUCUUCAAACUUAUUUCACUAAUUUUCCUCCAUUAUAUAAAAAUAAAAUAAUUUUAAAAUGCAUAAAUUUUUAAUCAAUUUUAAUUUUAUAUAUAUAUAUAUAUAUAUAUAUUUCAUAUUUUCUAUAGAAAAACCAAGUACAAAAAAUAAAUUUUCUUAGUUUUUUUAUUUAUUUCCUAAGUACUCUCUUGAGAUUCAAACAUGGUUUAUAGUGAUUGAUAUAAUGACUAUGCAUGUACUACAUUUCAUAGAAUUUCUUCAUUUUCGAAAAAUAUGAAAAAUAACUUCAACUAACUUUGAAAGUCAUCAUUAGUUUAAAAACAUGUAUAGUUUUUUUUUAUUAUUAUUAUUUUAACAUAUAGCUUAGAUAUGGUAGAGUGAAUUGCUUUAUUUUUUUUAUUUUUUUAUUUAAUUAGUUAACUAAAAACCUCAACAAAGUGAUUAUGAAGCUCUAGGAUUCUUCCUUACCUUAUUAGACAUAACAUUAAUUAAUUAUUUAAUUAAUUAAAUUUUUCUAUUUGCUUUUAAGAUAACAUUUGAAUAAAUUAUCAAAAUUAGUUAGAGAAGAUCAUGUACACAAAUUAGAAGUUAAAUUUGAAUGUAUUAUGAGGUAAAUAUAUGUAGAAACCUAAGUGUGUUUGAUAGUGAUUUUAAAAAACGUUUCUAGCAUUUCUAACACUUGAAUGAUAAAAAUUUAAGUGUUAAAAAAGUAGAAAGCGCUUCUUAAAAUCACUAUCAAAUGGACUCAUUUGGUAGCGAUUUUAGGAAGCCCUUUUAAUAUUUUUAAUAUUUGAAAAUUUUUAUCAUUCAAGUGUUAGAAAUGUUAGAAACGCUUUCUAGAAUUACUCCCAAACGCACUUUUACUUGAUGGAAGUAAAUAAUGAAACUCCUAUAUAUUGAUUUUAAUAGUUUUAAGAGUCAAAUUGUUUAUGGUUUUUGUAUUUAAGAAUUAAAUUUCUUUAAGUAUGUUAAAACAUUUUUUAAACAUGCAUACUUAUUGUCUAUUUCCUGAUAUGGAAGUCUUGGAUUAAUCUUAUAUUCACUUAUGUGAAAUUUGUGAUAUGCUCAUGAAGUUUACCUAACAAUUGAUCAUACUAAUCUUAAGUGAAAUUUGUGAUAGUACCGAUCAAAACGAAAUCGCAUGUGGUAGCUACAGGUGGACUUCAUGUUUUUUCCUAUCAACUUAUUGGUAAGUCAUUUUGUUCAUUUAUCCUUUUAGUACGCGUAGAAAAUUGAUUAAAGCUCUUCAACUUCUUUACUUUUUUCUCUUUCCCAUGAUCCCUAUUUUGUUCGAUUAUGUUUGGUUUUUGGAAAACUUGAAGGAAAAUAUAAGGGAAAAAAAACAGAGAAAAAAAAAAGGAAAUAAAAAGUGAAAAAGAAUAAAAACUAGAUUUAAAGUCAAUCAAUUAUUUUCAUAUGUUUCUUCAAUCUUAUUUCAAUUAUUUUGCUUCAUUAUAUAAAAAUUAAAUAAUUUUAAAAUGUAUAUAGUUCUAACUAAUUUUAAUUAUAUUUAAUUUUUCCAUAUUUUUCACAAUGAAACCAAAUAAUUAUCAUUUUCCUUGACAUUUUUUAUUGUUUCCUUGGUACUCAUUGGGAAUCAAACAUAAGUUUAAAACCACUAGAGUGGUCCAAUUGGUGAAUGCGAGUAUUGAGAAGUGUGGUCCCAUUAAGUGGCACAUGGUCCUGAGUUUGAAUCCUAUUACCAAUGAUACUUAGAAUUUACCUAGUGUUAGUUGUUGCGAAGCAAUUAACACUGAGGUUUGGUUCCCCAUAGAGAGUCCUACGGGCUUGACUAUGGAAGGUUUUUCGAUUAUUAAAAAAAAAAAAAAAAAAACAACAUAAGUUUAAUAAUGUUUUAGGAGGUAAAAAGAAAAGGGAAAAAAAAAAAUUGGUAGUGCAAUCCACAAUUAACUAGGACAUAUAUUUUUUCUCAUGUGCUUGGUAUAAGGCACUAAGUAUCAUUAUAUUAAAUCCUCCAUUUACCGCAUAAUAGUUAGUUAUAAAUUCCUUGCUAUUAAUAUAGGUAAACAACAAUUUAUAGAUGUUCGAAUUAAUUCUUAAGUUAAUGGUUAAUACCCAUUAAUUAUGUUUUUAGUUCCUUUGAUGAUUAUGUUAUAAUUUAAAUAUUUUAGGGGUUUGAUUUUAGCUUAACGAGCAUGAAGUGCAUCUAAUGAUAUGUGAUUCCCUAUCACUAUGUUUGAUUCCAAGAAAGUAUAAGGAAAGAAAAACCCUCAUGAAAGUGAUUUUCUCAUGAAAAAAUCCAAGUAUGAAGGAAUAUGAAAAUGAUUCUUGGAAAUCAAACACAACUUUGUGAAAUAUGCUUGUGUUAAUAAUUAUAGUGUGUGUGUUUAUGAAAUUGAAAUGUUGUUUUUUAUUAUUUAUCUUUAGGUGGAAACAAGGACAAUGAGGAGAAGUUAAUCUCAAGAUGCAAGUGAGAUUCCAAAUGUUGCUAAGGUGGUCUACUCUUGCAUGUGAUCAAUCUCUUACAAUCAUGACCAUCAAGAAAGAUGGUAUAAUUUGUGUAUUGGAAGUGUGAAUUAGGAAUGUUAAAAAAUGAAAACUUGAAUUGAUAUAUGUUUUUGCCCAUAAGAUGUGUGGUUAUGGGCAAUUCUUAUGGGUAUGUAAUUGACCUUGAUGUUGCAUAUGAAGCAUGUCACCCUCUCUAUAUCUUCAAGUUAGUGGUUGGAGCUUCUAUAGACGGUGAAAGACAAGUGUCACGGAUUUAAGUAUUUCCUAAGCUCUCAUGUGGCACUUAGACAAUUCAAGUCUAUUGAAGUUGCCAAGUCUUUUAGGUUGUGAUAAAGGUCUCUCACAUUUCACACAUUAUAAUCAUCACAUUUUAACUCAAGUGUUUAUUUUUAAAUACUUUUCCAUUAAACUCUUUUUCAAAAGUAUUAAAUUAAUACCAUUCUCUAAUCUUACUCGGCUUGGUUUGUCAACUUCAGUGGUUUAUUACUCUCUAAAGCCAACUUUCAACUUAAUCAAUCCAAUGUAAUUGUUAUUGAUCCAUGGUCAAUUAACAAAUUCUCUAAGGUUAUGAGUGUUUUUUGAAAAAUUUGAGGAAAAUAAAAUAAUGAGAAAAAGUACAAGGAAAGGAAAGGAAACAUGGAGAAGCAUAAAAGAAAUAUAUUUAAAAUUAAUAAUUUUUUUUAUUUGUUAUUUCAAAUCCAUUUUACACAUAAUUUUAAUAAUAUUUAAUUUUUUUCCCUAUUUUCUAUGAGAUACCAAAUAUAAAAAAAAUUAUUUUUCUUAAUAUUUUUUAAAAUGUUUUUUGGGAACUAAACAUAACUUAAUACUUGUCUUUGUGUUUCAAGAUACCAAUAAUACUUCUUGAUAGAAUCAUAUCUAUUAAUGUGGCAUGUAUACAUGUGUGGGAUAUUCAUGGUUCAAUACUAUCACUAUCUUACAAUUGUGGAUUCUAAUUGAAUUUUAUGAAUUAAUGAUAUGAUCUUUCUUCAAACAAAAUGUUUUCAGUUAAGUUAAAAUGGUUGAAUUAUUUCAAUUGGUCAAACCUCAAUAUUCCAAAUAUUUCUACUUUGAUUAAUCAAGGUCUUUGUGAGUUGACUUUAAUUUGCUUUUAAAUUUCAUCUAUCAAGGUAUUUUAGGUGCUUCUUUGUUUUGUGUAGUCUUGUAAUAGAUUAUGAGAUAAUUUGUAGACCAAAUUAUAUGCAAAUUAUCUCAUUUAUAGAUAUUUUUUCACCCAAAUUACAUCUUGUUUUGGACUUAAAGUCAUUUAGUUUUGCAUGUGCCAUAUUCUUUAAAAGAAACUAAAAAGGGAUGGAUCCUAGUAUAUAGUUGAAGCAAAGAAGGAUUUUAUUCUAAAAUUAAUAAAAAAAAAAAAAAAUUUGAUAAUGUAAUUUUAAACAUCUUUGAGAUGGUAUUUGGUAAACUAACUUAAUAAUUUAAUAUAACCUAAUAGCUUAAUUUGUUAUUAAGUAAAUUAACUAUAUUUGGUAAAAUAACUUAAUAUUAUAAUAUAAAAUUAACAUUAAGUCAAAAUAGUUAACUUAAGGGUGUUUGGUAAAUCAACUUAAUGACUUAAUAAUUUAAUUUAAGUCAUUAAAGAGAUUAAGCAUAUUUGAUAAAAUAACUUAAUAUUACAACUUAAAGUUAUUUUUAACUUUAAGUAAUAAGUCAAAAAGGUUAAUUUCAUUGAGACCCCUUAAGGUUUAAUAUAAAUACACUCGAUUACCGUUGUUUUCAAAUUUCAUCAAUUAGUACCCUUAUGAAUUUAUUUCAUUUAAAAAAUUUAUUUUUUUAAGAGAUUUCAAGUAAAAAUUUAGAUAGGAGUGUUUAACAAUUCACUAAAAACUAAAUUUUAUUCUUUAAAAAAUAAAAUUUAUAUACAUAAUACAUUUAUAGGGAUGCUAAUUGAUGAAAUUGAAAUUUGAAACUUACGAUGACUUAAUGUAUUUACACUAAACCUCAAGAGUCUCAAUAAAAUUAACUCUAAGUUAAAAUAGUUAACUUAUUCUUAAUCUCAAAUCUUUUUUACCUUAGUUGUCUACAUUUAUGACUCAUUUUUUAUGAUUGUACUUGUAUCUUUAAUGCUUUAAAUAUGAAUAUUUAACAAAUAAAUUUGUUGUUUAGGAUUAGUGAAAAUAUAAUUAUUAGUUAAAAUUAAUAAGGAUGAAUUAUGUCAAUUUGACAAUUCAGAAUAAAAGUUUUAAGUUUACAGUUCAAGAACCAUUUAGCUUAAAAUCAACUUAAAUCAUUAAGUAAUAAGUAAUAAGUUUUACCAAACGCCUAUUUAAAUAUAGUUUUUAAAUGAAUUAUUCAAUCAAAAGACAAAUAUAAAAAUAUAAAAAAUGAAAAAUAAAAGAUAAAAUAAAAAGGAACAUGGCAAAUAGGCAUCAUAAAGUCUUUUACAUGAUUUCAUUCCUUUUUUGUUCACCUUUUUAGAAGACGAUUUUAAUAUUUCCUUAGAAAAUUAUGAAAACAUAAAAUUGUUGUUUCCAUAUUUUCUAUUUUUAAAACUCUAUUUUUUGAAAUAUUGAUUUAUGUUUUCUUUACAAAUGAAAACAAUUUAAACAAAAAAGUGAUUUAUCGUUUCCAUUUUUAAAAUUGAUUUUCACUUCUUUUGAGUUAAGGCAUUUUCAAGAUAAGAAAAAAAAUAGGAAUAAAAGCUAUUUUUUGAGAAUAAAAAUAAAUGAAAAAUGAAAAACAUUUUCCAACCGAAACACAUUGUUAAUGUUUGCAUCUCAUUGUGCCUUUUUCUAAUCUCCAUCCCACUCUUUGAUGGGCUAAACUCGAAAUGGAAAGUUAUAUCUUGGCACAUCCUUUAAUUUACAUUUGUUAAAUUGGUUUUGACAUACAUUUUUCAUAAUAAAUGCAAAACAAUAGCCUGAGUUACAAACAUGAUUUCCAUGGUUAUUCAGAUCCAACCCGUGCUCCAUUGUAAACCCUAGGCUCAUCUUUUAUACCAUUAUCAACCCGAGCCACACUGUUACCACAGGGAAAGUUGCUAAUACCAAAUAUUUAAGUAUACAUACAAUACAAAUCAGUCCAUUACCCUAAAAGAAAAGGAAAAAGAAAAAUAACUCGUGUCACAGAAAGGAAUAAUCUAUUGGGUCAGUGGCUGGUAUCCAAAGUGAUACCAAACUGUGCUGACAAGGAGCCUUUGUAAGAAUCUGAUACAACUCCUGCUGUUUCUGAAAGGUUGCUCUUCAUCUCUGAAAUUUUUGAUGCCAUGUGCUCUUUGUAUUUCGAAACUGAAUCAACCAAAGCAUAGAGUUCCCAAGCACAUAUCUGAAUUUCUUCCUCAUUUUGCUUGAUUGCUUCCUGCAACUUCAAUUUGGACGUCUUCAUGACAACAUCAAAGUCUACUCAGAAUCCCUUGAAUUUUUCAAUAUUAUUCACAUUAAUCAAGAACAAUUAUAGAGCCAGGUAGGAAUUUUUAGCUCUGAAAAGGGAAACCAACUUAUGUUAAAAUAAGUUUCUUUCAGGUUUACGACAUCCACCCUGGCAAUAUUGAUAUCCUUAACUAACUAUUCAAGACAAGAAGAACAAAAUUAUACCUCCAGAACAUCUGCCACUUCUCUUUCCACUAUAUCUACAUUAUGGGUUUCUAUCUCAACAUCCUCCACCAACUUCUUAACUUCCGUUGCACACCUGACAAAUUGAUCAUUCAUCCAUGGUUAACCUCGUACAACAAUAGCCUGAAAGUAUUCAUUCUGAUUCCUGGUCAAAAAUCAACCAGAAGAUAAAUAUCCAUGAACGAAAAGCAAUUAGAUUAAACAAUGUGUAACCCAAUAAUUUAUGUUGAAAAAUCAAGUUAAACAUCAAAUCCAUCAGAAACAAAGAGUGAUUCUGUGAUGGAUGAUAGCUUAUUAAUAAAAUCACAUUAUUAGGAAGACACUACUCAAUAGCUCUUGACACUAAUAAUGGAGUUCUUUAAUAAUGGAAUAACCUUACAUGGCAUAGUUAUGCAAGCAUUGUUUAAGCUAAUGUUGAAUAUAGUCAAAACCUUAACAAUAAUUUCCAAUCAGCAAGUUGGAAAAUUACUUGCUAAAAAAUUUACUUGGAAAAAGAAUCAAAUGUAGUCAAUCCUUUGUAGGGAGUAAUUAUCAUCCAAAAAGAAUUUUUCUUAAGUGUUUUAUAGGCCAUCAAAGCUACUUUGAAAAUUUGGGGCCUGACUGCCUAUGUGCAAUAACAAUUGACAUCUCCAGCAGAUUUUUAUUUUUAUUUUAUCCAAAACAAAUCAUUCAUUGAUAUGAAUUUGAUUACAAACGAAGGAUAAGAAACCCUUUCAAAAUAUAAAGGAUGAUUAAAAAUUGAGGAAAAACCUAACAAGAGUAGCAAGAUAGUUAUACUAAUCAAGGAUGAUACAAGAACUUGUACAAAAUAUAGCGAUAAUGUACACUUGAAGGGGGUAAAACAUACCUUACAAAAGAGUCCAUUUGCAUGGCUCCACAUUGAGCCAAUCAAUCUGCAACCUGAUUCACUAAAUGAAGGGACCAAUAGAAGGAACAACCCAAGCUACUAGCUAGAUCCAAGGUUUUAGGGAGCUACAUGUCAUACAUCCCAAGACAUGUGAUGGGGGAAAGCCUUUCAAAGUAUAUUCAAAACGGAAAGGAAGGCACAAAUAAACUUUAAGUGGGAUCAGUAUUAGUUGGAGUAAAAUUAGAAUUAGUAUUUAUUGGAAUCAAAUUAGGAAUAGCUAAAUAAUUUAGAGGAGAAUUAGAGUCAUAAUAGGUUAUAUUAGAAUCCUAAUAGGCUUUGGAUUUCUUAGAGAAACCUAUAAAUAAAGCUAAUUGAUGUAAAUCAAAGUAAUGGAUUGAUAAUUAAUAGUAUUACACUUUCUUGCAUACUUUGCAAUUUUCAAUGGUAAGACUCUUGAUUUUCUUCCAAGUGAGACUUUUAAAAGGCCUUAGUGAGACUCAAAAGUUUCUAUCUCUUCUUCUUCGUAUCUUCUUUCUCAAUGUUUUUUUAUUUUAUUUUUCUUUAUCAUAAACUUUAUCCCUUGUUCCUCUCCUUAAACCCUAAAAAAUAAAAACCUUAGCCCACUUAUUUGAUUGUAGGCAACCAAUAGGGUUGUCCUACAUCAAUAUGUCCAACAGUUUAAUCAUCCCUUCUAAUCCAAUUUGAAAAUAUCGCCUAUUCUCAACUGAAUUAUAUUAAAGCAUCUUUGGGUCACUUUUCUAAAGCACAUGUCUGGUUUUUAAAAGUGGACACAAUUCUAGAAUUGUGCAUUUGGAGCAUGUGCAUCUAGGGCAUCCUGAAGAUACGUGCAUUAUGAAAAUGAACAUGUAUUCGUAUUUCUUAUUCUUUCUUCUUCUCCCUCUUCCCUAUAUUUGUUAUUCAUCAUAUCUUCACAUCACCUAGGUACCAUAUCAAAACCAUACAACAAGCUGGCCCUUGAUCAGCAUCCAUCUGACCUUGAUCAAUGGACUUCAGAAACAAUGGCAUGCACCCCACAUAAAUACUAUUGGACAUUUAACUUCCAAGUCCUCUGGACCAAUCUGACAUAACUAUGAUAGCACACUUUUUGGGUCACCCUUUGUAUUAGUUCAAAGGAACAUUCCAACCUGAGCUAUCCAUUGAUGCCAAAAAGUUGUAAUGUGGGUAAUACAUGCUUUGCUCAUAUACAAUAAUUGUUUUUAGCAAUGGAUACAAAAUGGAUGUCUAUCUAGGGCAUCCAGAAGUUAAGAUUUCAUCUACAACCAGAAGAGUACAACCCCUAAAGCUUCAUGGAUACAAAAUGCCCAUGAUUGUCCCUUAAUAAGCCCCAACCGGCUCAGAUUUCCCAAAAAGCAACCUUCCCAAGAAGUGUUUCUAGGAGGAAUAACAAACUUAUCUCUCAACUUAUCCCCUUCAUCACCCACAUAAUUUUAAAAGGCGCAAGGCACACCUAAGAUGCAAAAGUCUCCUAUAGCUUAAGCGCAAGGCACAACACAAGGCAUGCGCCUCAAUGAAGUGAAAUGCGACCUAGGAUACACAUCAAUUUUGUAAAAUAUGAUUCAAAAUCUAAUCCGAUCAAUAAAAAAUUUAAGAUUUGAAACAUUUAAAAGAAGCAUUCAAUAAAAAAGUAAUGAAAUUAUAUACAUUUCAGUAUAUAAUUAGAAAUUUAAAAAAAGAAGUGUUUACAAAGGAAGAGUAAAGCUGACAAGGUGCACUUUUUCAAUAAGGCACAUAUCUUGGCAAGCAUGCGAUAUAACUUGGGAGUGGUGGCGCCUUGAGCCUAGGCCCACUUAAAGCACGACUUUUAAAACUAUGAUCACCCAUUAGACAGGUGGUUAGACCAAGCAGCUCUUGCUAUCAAAUUUUGAGUGACAACUGCUUGUGUAUUUGACACAACAUUUGCCCUUUGUACCAAAUUUUAGAUUGAUCAUCAGGUGGUAGUAUACUCCUUUCCAAUUAUUUUAUCUCCCAUAUUUCAUUUAAGUCAUUCUGAAAUUUAGCAAUAUUCUAUCCCAAUGGAAUUUCUAGGAACAACAUUUUUCUGUCAAAAUUUGAAUACAUCUAAAUUACCACCUUUUGGAAUUCCAAUUGUAGUCCAAUCCAUUUAACCACAAGAAUUGAUUUUCCAAGAAAUUUUCUUAUUGUGCAUUCAACUACUAACAAUUCAAGAAAACCUUUUUUUUUUUUUUGGAUAGGGAAAUCACAAUUCAAAAAACAAAUUAAACGAAGGGGAAAGCAAGAUUCCAAACAAUUUUGUCUUUUAGAUUGCAAAGAAAAUACCAUAGAAGCUUACGAUUACAACUUUAGUUUUCCUGGAGUGGCAUCCAUGAAAUAUAACAACCAUGCAAUUGUAUAUGCUACUGCUGGUACUUUAGAAAUGGUAUUGCUCACAAAGUCAGACCACUAGGUAAAGAAGACCUGCUUUCAUUUGUUAUAUAGAUAGAUGGAUAGAUGGAUAGAGAGAGACAGAGAGAGAGAGUUUGGCCUUUUCUGAGAGCAGCAAAAAGAGGAUGAGUUAAUUUGUACUUCAGUUAAUUGCAUAUUCAAUAGGGGACCAUUGGCUCCAACUAUGUGCACGCUCCCUCCAUCUGUAUCCUUAUGGAUGUGUGUCUGAGAAUUUUAUGGGUCUGUCAUUCUUUCCAAAAUUUUAUGUGCUGCGAAGUUCUUCUUUCUUGUAACAUGAUCAAUCUUUUUAUUUGUACCAAAGAUUUCAGGAAUGUCUUUGAGAAUUUUACGAGUAGAGGAUUCAUCAUCCUCUCUAAAAUUUGUCUCCUGGAGUUAAUUUGUAUCUAACAUCAUCAAUACUUUUACCCUUUAAAAUUUUUAGGAAAACAAAGUGAAAAUCUGGCUGCUCCUGUUGACACCCUAAAAGCAUAUAAAAAAGGCAUAGUUUUUUAUUCUUUGUGAGAGGUAUAUAAAUGCAUAGCUGCUGAACAAGAAAAAUGAGUUGUAAUUCACUUACUUCAUCACUACUGGAUUGAAGUGCAGCAAGAUGAUUUCUUUUUGCUUCAAUUUUAGCAGCAUUUUCAACUGAUUGUUGCUGAAGAGAAAUCAACUCUUCCAACUUUGACAUAGAGCUUAUAUUUAUGUCAUCAGCAAAGGAGUCAAGUGCAGGCUUAAGCGUUGAUUUGUGAUAAAUUCCCAAAACCUCAGCAGGCGAAGACCCUUUGGCAUUCAACACAUACUGCAAAACAUUUCCUAACUUUAACCUGGUAACCAUCCAAGAGAAAAUACUUCAAUCACACAAUAGAUUGUAGUUUAAUAGGUUGAAAGAGUUGCAUGAGGUGGCAUGCUAAUUUGUCAAUUCAAAUAUGCUCCCGAAAAUGAAGUAUUUAGUGUUGCCUCUUCAUCACUAUUAGUUUACUUCAAAAAAUUAAAGAGAGCAUGGUCCAAAGGGAAACAAUAGGCUCCUAAGGCAGUGCUCAGUAGGCAAAGGGUUGUGUGGGUAUGGGAAGGUUCCAAGUUGAAAUUCAUAUGCCGAGAGAGAGAGAGAGAGAGAGAGAGAGAGAGAGAGAGAGAGAGAGAGAGGGGGGGGAGGAGAGGGGAGGCUACCUCAAAAAAAGAGGUUGCCAAGGGCAACUGUAUCACUUAUCUCUGUCUAAAUAAAUGAUUAGAAAACUUGUGAGGAUGGAAGUGUUAAAUGGAGAUUUUUUUUAAAAGCCAAAUCGAGAAUGAACAUUAACUAACCUUCAAAACCUUUUUAUUUUUCUUACUUUGACAAAGCUCCAGAAAGGUUAGCAGUUUGAGAGUAACAUUUAGCUCAAAAGGUUACAGAAGAUGAACAAAAAUGAAAUCAUAAACCAAUACAAAAGCUGUAAUGCACCCAAAAGAUAAAUGAAGGUAAGGCAAAUUACAACACAGAAACUACCCAUUGCUGGUGUUGAAUCACAACAAAUGAAGUUUGAGUUGGCUACUUGGAAAUAGUGCAUGUGACUCAAGAAGACAUAAGCCAUUGAAUGGUUCAGCCACUACAUUCACCUGGUCUGAAUUUUUGUCUACUGAAAUUUUAUUUUUUUGUUAGGUAAAUUUUUUUGUCCCUAUUGGGAUUUGAACCUGAAACUUCCACAAACCCUCCCAACCCUUUACCUCUUGAGCCAGGCCUCAAGGGCAUGUUCAUUGGAAUAAUUUAAGCAGAGAACAGCAGCUGGAUCCUUCUUAGGAAUCUCCGACUAGUCAUGCUAUAACUACAGAGCCAGAUCCUAUGUUCUCACUGAAGUUAUACUAAAAUGUUGUAUAUGUUAAUGUGUUUGCUAAGAACAGGAAAGUAUUUCAUAUCACCCAUAAAUGACAGACAAGUCAAAACGAAAAAAAUAAAAUAAAAUUUGUAAUCUAAUUCAUGGAGGUAGAUAACCUAAUGUUGAUAAGAAUCACAGUAGACUUUAAUGGAAUAGAGAAAAUCAAUUCCAAGCAUUACCAAACUUAAGAAAGAACACAAUUCUACCAUGUUCAUUAAUUAUCAGAAAGCAUACUGAAGAUUACUAGAAAGACUUUAGAGUAUGCAACUUGAGAAAUUAAGAAAAUCCUAGUGGAGUGGAUUAUAGAGGUAUGAAAGCCAAACAAAGAGGAUAAGGAAAAGAAAACCUCCUGAGAGCCUGGUUGCAUUCAAUUGAAAGAGCUUCAAGCUCCUUAAACUUGUGCCCAAUUGUCGUGUCAAGAUCCCAAGACUUCUCCUCCCAACCAUUCCUCACAACCUCAGCCUCCGCGAUAUCUCUCUCCACUGCCUGCAACUCCCUCUUCAUCCUCUCUGCAUCUCUUGCAUUAAACGUCUGCAACUCAACCCUCUUCUUCAGCUCUUCAUUCUCCUCGCAAAUUCUAUUAUUCUCCUCAACCUUCACCCCCAACUCCUUCUCCUUCUCCUCCAAAAUCUUCUCCACUGAUGCAAUCCUUCUUGAAAAUUCUGCAAUUAUUGCAUGAAAUUUCUUCACAUCCUCCUCCAACACCCCCCUCUCCUUCUCCACAACCUACUUAGCCGAAGGGCCCGACAUCAAUUCCUCCAACCUCCCCUCCCUCUCUACCACUUCCUUCUCCAAUGCCUUCACACCUUCCGCCACUGCAUCCCUCUCCCUUUCCAACUUCCCCAUAAACUCCCUAUCCACCGCCUCCAUCCCAUCAUCAUCCCCGCGAAUAUAAUGCAAGUAACUAUCCAAUGCAUACACAAAAGUAUUGUCAAAACACUGCAAGUUCGACACAAGAUGGUCAUUAUACAAUGCGAUCUGAACCAACCAAUGCAUUACGCCUAAAGGGAAGGCCAAGCAUGUGGGGUUCCGGGGGCUUUGAGAGCGGACUUGUUGAGCUUGAUCAGAAAAUUGAGGUGCUUGAGGAUACGAAGAUCGUCUUCAAGUUUGGUUGUGGGGAAAUCGAGUUGGGAGAUGAGGAAUUUUAGGGUUUCGGAAAUGUCUUUGGCGGAGGGGAGAGGGGGUUUGAGGGGGAGAGGAGAGACAUGGGAGGCGAGAAAGGAGUUGAUGGUGCGAAUGGCGGAGAGUUGCUACGACCGGUUGGUGAGGACAUCGCCGGCGGAGGAGCGGUUGAUUCCAAGGGAGGAAGGGCGGCUGCUGGCAAAACUAGAAUCAGAGUUGCGGCUGAAUUGGCUGUGCUGGUCGACGGAGGGAGGUGCUGGCGGCGGUGGGCGGAUAGAGUCCUUCGGAGGACGGCGGCCAGUGGCUUUCAUCUCCGGCUGUGAUGGGCGUCUCUCUCUCUUCUGAGUUCUUGUGAAUUCUGAAUCUCUCUCUUUCCCGCCUAUGGGCUACAGGGAAAAUGACACUGCUUUUUAAAUUUUAUUUUCGAAAACAUUUUGUUAAAUGAAUUAUUUUUAAAACUAUUAAGAUAUUAUUUCAUAUUUUUAAAAAAAUUAAGAUAUUAUUUGGAAUUAGAGUUCAAUGGAAAAGUUAAGGCCCUUAAUUUCUUAUUCAAAAGAUAGUGGGUUUAGCUUUAACUUGAAAAAAAAAAAAAAAAAUAUAUAUAUAUAUAUAUAUAUAUAUAUAUAUAUAUAUAUUUGAGGAAAAUUAUAUUGAUACCCCUUGGCUAUUUGACAAUUACACUUAACCACCCUCAAAUUUUUUAAAUUACAUUGAUAUCACUUGACCAUAAUGGAUAAGGGUCUCCAACGGGCGGGCCGGGUCGUAAAUAGGAGGCCCGCGGCCCAGCUCGGGCCGGGCCUAUGGGCCAUGGAAAAAUGUUAGGCCCACGGCCCGGCCUAUGAGCCCGCGGGCUAGCGGGCCGGGCCUAUGAGCCCGUGGGCUAGCGGGCCGGGCCGCCGGGCCAAGCCUUGGGCUUUUUUAAAUAAGCCAAAAUGGCUUUAGGAAGGAAGGGAGAGGGGGGGAUUCGAACCCCUCCCCUCAUGCUUUAAUAUAAAGGCUCUAACCAACUGAGCCACAUUUCUUUUGUGUUAACUAAAUGAGUUAGUUAUAUAUAUAUAAGAUAAAGUAUAUUAUUUUUUAAAAAAAAAUUAAAGGCUCCAACGGUCAUGUGACCGUUGGAGCUCCAGCCCAACUCCCAGCUACCAUGUGAUCGUUGGGCAACGGUCACAUGGCCAAUUUUUUUUUUUUUUUUCUAAAGCCUUCCUAUAAAUACCUCUUCUCCCUUUUCAUUUUUUCAUCAAAUUCUCUCUAUUUCUCUCUCUAUUUCUCUCACAUUCUACAAUAUUUCAAAUUCUUUUAUUUUUCCCUCAAAUUAUACAAUAUUGUUGGUGGUGCAAAACAAGCAUUGAUGGCUCCAAGAGUUCAAAUUUGCUAGGAAUUUCUGCAUCGGUUCUCUAAUUGAGUAACAUACUUCACCCCUGCUACUUUAUUUUUUUGUUACAUUUUUUUUAUAUUUAUUACUUUAUUAUUUUUGGCAUAAUAUUUUAUCAAUAAUUAUAAUAUGACAAGUGCUUCUUCUUCAUCUAGUCCAUGUGAUGAAAUAUCAUCAAACAAAAAAUUUACUUCAAAUAUAUGGAAUUUUUUUGAUAGAGUAGAAAUAAUUUUAGAAAAUAAUAAAAAAGAAAUAAAAGCAAAAUGUAAAAUUUGUAAUAAAUUUCUUACUGGUGGCUCAAAUGCAGGCACAAGUCAUUUAAAAAGACAUCACGAAAAUUGUAAAACUAAAAAUAAUGUAGAUAUUAGAAAUUAUAUGCAAUUAGGUAAAAAUGAAAGUGGAAAUUUAAAAACAUUUUCUUAUGAUGAAUCUAACUGUCGUGAAGAAAUGAUUGAUUAUAUAAUAAGAGCAGAACAACCUUUCAACAUGAUGGAAACUCAUGAUUUUGUAGGAACAAUUCAACGAGGUAUUAAUCCUCAAUUUAAAGGUUGGUCUGGAAAUACAGUUAAAAGAGAUAUUAUGAAAAAAAUUUAUACACAAAAAGAAAUUUUAAAAAUUUUUUUUGCAAAUUUUGAAGGAAAUAUUUGUUUAACAUCUGAUAUUUGGACAUCUUUAACUCACACUGGUUUUUUAUGUAUAACUGCUCACUACAUUGAUAAUGAAUGGAAAUUAAAUAAAAGAAUAAUUUCAUUUAAAUUAAUAAAUGCUCCACAUAGUGGUAAAAAUAUAGCAUCUUUAAUAAAUGAUGAAAUUAUAGAUUUAGGCAUUCGUGAUAAAAUAUUGACAAUAACAUUAGAUAAUGCUGCUAAUAAUGAUACAACAAUACAUAGACUAAAACGAUAUUGGCAAGUAAAAGAAGAUCAUGCUAAAAUAUUUCAUGUGCGUUGUUGUGCACAUAUUUUAAAUUUAAUUGUAAAGGAUGGAUUAAAAAAUGUUGAUGAUACAUUGGAAAAAAUUAGAGGCAUUGCAUAUAGUAUUAAUAGUUCUCAAGCAAAACAUGAAUUAUUUUUUGAUUGUUGCAAAAUGUUAAAUAUGAAAAGAAAAAAUAUAAAUUUGGAUAUGGCCAUUAGAUGGAAUUCCACAUAUAAACUUUUACAAAAUAUUACAAAAUAUAGAAAAGUAGUCGAAUUAUAUGAAAUACAAUUACUUAACAAUGAUUGUGAAGCAGAUAUUUAUGCAUUAAGUGAUUAUGAUAGGCAUGUUGCAGAUCUUUUAAGAGAUCUUUUUGAAAUUUUUGAUACUUCAACAAACAUUUUUUGUGGUGUAUAUUAUCCAACUUCAAAUCGAGUUAUUAUGCAAAUAACUAAUAUUUUUAUUGUACUUCAAAAAUAUUUAAGUUUUGAAAUAUUUAAUGAUACAAUAUUUGCAAUGAUAGAAAAAUUUAGAAAAUAUUGGGGGGAAAUACCUUUAAUUUUUUAUAUUGCUUUAAUUGUGGACCCUAGAUUGAAAUUUGAAGCUUUGGAUGAAUGGUUAACAAUUAUUUAUUUUAAUGACCAAAUAAAAAUUGAAGAAAUUAAAAAUGAAAUAAAUUCAUUAUUACAUAAUUUAUAUAACUAUUAUAAAGAAAAAUAUGGUAAUGAUAUUAAUACUAAUAAAUUACCACCUACAUCUACAAACUCCUCAUCUUUUUAUAAAGGAGCUCUAGAAAUGUUGAAAAGUCGAAAAAAGACAACAAAUAGUUCUCCAAAUAAUACAUCUGAUUUAGAUAAAUAUCUUAAUACUGAUAUAAUUCCAUUUGAAGAUCAAGAAGAUUUUGAUAUUUUAAUAUGGUGGAAAUCACAUCAACACAAAUAUCAUGUGCUUUCUAUAAUUGCUCGUGAUGUACUAACAGUUCCUGUGAGUACAGUUGCAUCAGAAGCUGCUUUUAGUGCAGGUGGAAGAGUUAUUAGUAAAAAACGAUGCAACUUAGCGCCAGACGUUAUUGAAGCAGGGAUAUGUGUAAAAGAUUGGGAAAUAGCAGAUAAAAGGAUGUACGAUUCCAUUCGAGAAACAGAGAUGCUUGCCGAUAUGGAAUCUUUAAAACUAUCAAGAUCUUCAUGGAUGCAUGAUAGUUCGCCAUCACCGCCAGAAAAUAAUGACUAAAUGUAUAUUAUAUUUUUAUUUUUAUUUUUUGUGGUUGAAAAAUACAGAUGAUUGACAAAUAAAUAGGUGCCAACCUAGUUGGGAUGUAUUUAUUUUGUAGUGAUGUAAACUUUUCCCACAUUUUUAAAUGUAAUUAUACAUUCAAUGAAUAAAAUUUUGAAAUGAAUAUUUUUUUUAAUACUUUUUAUUUUUGUAUUUUUUUUUUAAAGGGGCGGGCCUACGGGCGGGCCUACGGGCUGGGCGGGGCCUAAAUUUAGGCCCGCGGCCCGGCCCGCCCAUAAACGGGCUCGGGCCGGGCUCGGGCCCGCGGGCCGCGGGCUUUUUGGAGACCCUUAAUAAUGGAGCAUAACAAUCCAUGUUAUCAAAUCUUUCAAAAUAAUUAAAUAAAAUAUCUAAAAUAUCCUUUAAAGUUCGUUUUAUUUCAUUUCAUCGUACCACAUUUUUUAAUUAAUUUUAACUAAAGUUUUUAAUACAAAAAUUUAAUUAAUUUUUAUUAAAUAGUGUAUUGUAUUAUCUAAUUAAUCAAACUGAAAUCCAUUUGGCAAAGAAGGAAAAAAGUACAUUCCAGACUGCUACUUAAUAAGUUUUCUUGAUUUUAGCAAAGAAAUGCCCGAAUCUCUUUCAGGAGCUUGUGAUCCAGGAAGAUCAAACCCCAAAUCUAUGGCUUUCAAAUUCAACCAUGUGGAUGUAACCCAAAUGGAACUACAGCAUCCCUGAAAAUGCCUACCUUAGUAAUGGCAGACCCCAAAUGGCAAUGGACCCCCACAAGCUUCAGCUCAUUAGGAUGUGCUUUCACAGCACCAAGAAACCAUUGCAACUUUUCAUUUCUAAUUCCAAAUUUGGAGUUCUUUUUCCCAGUGGCAACAUAAAAAUGGACCUAAGGACCCACAUCUUGCUAAUUUCUACACCCUUUUAUAUAUACUUCAAACCAUUGAAAGUUUCUACAUAUGUUCCAUUCAACAAAGAUUUGAGCAAUACAAGAGUCUCAUCCAUGUCCCAGAUAUAUACAUUCAUUAUCUGAUCCAAGGUCUUCUACUCUUCUUAGCAAAAGCUCUCACAGAAGCUUUCAUCUUUUGAUUGGAAUUUGUUGAAUUGCCAUUGAUUAACUCAUCCCUUUUAGUGUCCAAUGCAAGCAACAGAAUCUUAGGUUAAAGCCAGGGCAACAAAGAAAAGAAGAUGGAUAGUCUUUCUGAUUAUCAUUUUCUGCAGGUAGAGGGCACUCACAUAUAACUUCCCAUUUAUCAUCAUCGCGAAUGGAACAACUCCUUGGAUGAGAAAUAUAGCUACUAUUCUACACAAAUUUCCAACCACAAUUGAACUUAUUGGGUCACAAGCUGGAUUUCCUAGUCAUAUGUACAACGAUUGGCGAUGCUCCUACAAUAAUAAGACCAGUAGCUGCAGUGCCAUCCUCUGUCAUGACUGCAACAGAUGUGGGAUCAGGACCACACUAAGCAUAAUCUCUCACUUUCAUUCCCUCUGCAGCUGCUCUUGGCAACAUGAUUUCCCAUUUUCUUCCAUUGGGCUCUAGGAUAAUCCAAUCACACAUCUCUUAAGAGUGUAAAUCACAUGGACAAGCUAGGUACUGUUUUUUGACAACCUGAUUGUCAUCAAGGGAGUACCUCAUGCCUUUUCGGCUUGAAUGUACACAUUAUUUGCAAGACACCUUUUCCACUUACUUUCCAAUGAAAAUUGCAUGCCUAACUACUGAGGACCAAGGAAGCUAGAGCUCACAUUAGAAUCAUUGAAUAUAGGAAAAGGUUUCAAACUCAAAGACAAGGCACUCUGCAAAUUGUUAUCAACCCAACCAAAUUCUUGCUUUGUACUGUCCAUGAAGUGUGAAGGUUGUAUUAGGAUGGAGCUCUUAAAAACAUGACAUGAUGUAAUAGAUUCGAAAUUCCUUAUUUAUUUAAUGAUAUUCCAAUUUCACUUUUAUCUAUCCUUAUUCCAUGUAUUACACUUUAUGAGUAUUCUUGUUUCUUUUGCAGUAUAUGUAACUUGAGUGCAUUUAUGAGUUAUAGGGAAGAUCCAAGUCAUGGGUUCCUUGCAAAUAGAUGACUUGUUCAAAAUCGGUUUGUGGGUUUAGAUAACUUAUUAGAGACUAUAGUGCGCCACCACCUUCUAAUUGAGGGAUAACUGGUCUUUAAUAUCGAGAUGAGUUUUCCAUGGUGAGUACACUAGUGUGUAUGGUUACACAUUGGACAGGACUUAUGGUGAGUCAUGACUUAAGGUUAUUAAGUAUUUGUGACCUUAUCAAACUACUUCAUUGUGUUGUCUCUCAACCUUGAGAGAAUAUUGAGUUUGUGCCAAAGUUAGCAAUGACUUUGACCUAUGGGUGAGAUCGUAAGUUGAUAAUAUAUUCUUUAUGGAUUGGAUCACUAUUGAUGGAAGUUGGUGGCAAUAGGUAUUCUGAAUAGAAGCACCAUGAUAUCUCAUAGGAUUGAGACAAUGUGUCCCCUUAGGUGGUUCUAAGGAGGUGUGUUCAUGGAAACUAUGGUUAUUUUAGUUUCUUAAGUAGAACUUGACAUAAACUCUUUGAGAGUUAAGACAUGUUAGUCGAACACAUAAUGAAAGGAUCUGUAACUCAAUGAUAAUAGAGGUAGUCUUAAAAGACUGACAAUUUUUACCUUGUUAGAUUACGAACAUUAGUUCAUAGGGAGACUGAACACAAUUGAUAACAAGUCACAAACCCGAGUACACAAUGUCUCGUUGUUAUUUACAUAAGAUAUUGGAGUUAUGGUCCCCGGUUUGAGCUCAUAUAUCUUGUUGGCAUAGGUUAUGAGGGUGUGAUUGGUUUUAGGUUCACUUUUAUACAUAAGGGUCUUUUGGUAAUUACAUAAGAUUGUACAAGGAUAAGUGAACAAGGUCUUUGGAUUAAGCUAAUUAAUUAAUUAAUUAAUACUAUUAGGUUAAUUAAUCAAUUAGGAUACAAUUUGAGAUAGAUUAAUUAACCAAAGCCCAUGUGAGCUUAACUCACUUAAGCCUAGUUAGGAACCCUAUAAAUACCCAUAGGGGUUAGGGUUUCUAUCACUUGUAUCUUCCACCAUCAUCCAGAGAGAAAAAUGAGACAUAGUCUAUUGGUUGAUACUUCUAUAUUCUAAAAAGUCAAGCCACUCCACUUCUCUUGUAUUCUAGUACCGCUAUUGGAAACUUCAACAACAACAGACUAUAGAAGAGCACCCUAGCUCCCAUUAUUAAUAGAAUGAAAUGUGUUCAUGUAACUUGCAUGUUCCCAUGCAUUACCAAAGCUCCAAUGCCAUGUCAAUGCACUUGCAAAAAUAAGAAUCCCAAUUAUCAUCCAUAUCGAACAUAAUCUUCUCUUCUAUUGGAUCUAGGGUGGACAAACUUGGAGAAGGGUCCAUUUGUAUUGCCUUUUUCUUAUGAGUACCCAAGCUAACCUGGUCACUCUUGUUUCCUAUUGAAUUCCCGACCUUACAUUUCUUUGUAAAGCCUUUCCUAAUGGGAGUUUUAUGAUAGAACCCUACUAUUAAAAUCUUGAAUGGGAAUUUGGCCAAAGAAGUUCCUCCCCUAAAAUCCUUGCUCUGCUAUGAAAAUAACAUCUGACGUGUGAUCUUGCUCCUGAGGUGCAAUGUCUAGAAAGGCAUUACUGUAACUAGAUGGUAGCAUUGGAGGCUUCUCGUGCACUAGCAACAGGAGUAUCAUACAAAAAUGCAUCAAGCUGUUGCAGACCCAGACCCAGACCCAUUGAGUCGUUCUAUGACGACCCGUUGCUGAUUGGAACUUGCUAACUUGUUUUCUCAAACAUCCACGAUUGCUCUAGUGUUCUUUGUCUCGUGGAAAUGAAUACUCAAAUGGUGCCCAAAUUACAAACGAGAAUAUAGAAGAAAAAAAAAACAAGAGGUCUCCAAAGCUCCAUUUCACACUUUCUCAAUGGGCAUAAAGGAAACCGGUGGAGAACCUAAAGAAUAGAUGAACCCAGAUUUAUGCAUAUUUUGAUACAAAACCACAUAAACAAUAGAUGAAAUAGUAUAUCCAUACAUAAAUUAGAAAACAAUAUUCAAUAAAAUGAAAAUGAAACACAUUAUUAUAAAUGAAGAUGAAUAGGGAACUCAAAAUAUCCAUCCCUGGAAGGGUCCCCUCUGCUUCUCUUCUCUUGAUGCUAUUCUCAUAGUUCAAAGUCACGAAAUCGGUGAUUGACUCGGGAGGUCCUAAGGCACAUCGUUCUCGGUAUCUCGGAUCGGUAUCGGGUGAUAUGCAAAAAAUUCUAAUUUAAGAGCUCAAAAUAAUUUUUAAAAAUUAUGAAAAUUAUUAAAAAAUCAAAUACAAAUAAGUAGAGUAAAAAAUUAAUAAAAUAAACUUCUAUUAUAUUAAAAUUAUUCAAAUUAUAAUAAAAACAUACUUUUGGGAUGAUUUAUAAUAAUAUUAAAAAUCUCUAAAAAUAUUUUAAUUUAAUCACUUGAUAAUAAAUGUUUCUAUUGAAGAUGCAAAUAAUAAAAAGUAAAUUUUUUUUUUAUAAAAAAUUGUUUAAAUUAAAUAUUUUGAAUUUUUAAAAAUAUUUUCAAUUAUUAAAAAAAAUAAAACCAUGAUUCAUCUUUAAAAAAAUAAAUAUAUUUUUUCUUAUAAAAUAUAUUCAUUAAUUUUAAUUUUUAUAUAAAUAUUCAUUUCCUAUUUAUUUGAUAUAAGUCUAAUAUUCAUUAUUCAUUUUUUAUCAUUAUAAUUUUCAUCAAAUUAUUUAAAACCCAAAUCCCCACCAAAUACUCAUUAUCUACUUAAAAAACAAAUACAUAUUUAAAACCCAAUUUCUCAUCUCUGUUAGAUACCCAUAACCCCCAUCCACCCGUCAAACACUUAUCUCUCUCAAGAUACCCAUUUCUCCUCUAAACCCACAACUCCCUAUUUCUCUGCAAAAUACCACAACUUCUUGUUUCUCUGCAUAAUACCCAUUUUUGAAGAGUUUUUAGACCAAAUACAAAAUAUCUUUAUGAAGAUACAAAAAUAUGAAGAUGUUCUAACUCUUUAUAUUUUUCAUUUUCGUGGGUUUUGAUCCUCUCAUCUUCUUCACAAUUUCUACUCCAAUAUUACUUUUUUUUCCAUUACCAAUUACCCAAAUAGCUUAGUCUCAACAUGAUUUUGGAGUUGUCUCAAAGUUUUCAUAAGAGUUACUUUGAGAUUGUUCAUUUAUCUUCAAUUCAACCGAAUUUAUUCACAAGCUGACAAAAUAUCCAACUCUGGUAUUGGCCUAGUAUUGACCAUGGUCGAGGCGGAUACAACUUGGCCGAGUUGUACUGGCCUCAAUCGAGAUUUUGAACCCUACCAACAAGCCCCCUCCAAGAAAACUUGAGCCAAAAGAGUGAAAAAGGCCCCUUCACUAAAGGCGAAAAAGCCUUUAAAAGAAACAAAGGAAGGCUAGAAUGAGUGUACACGUGUCCUCAUCCCAACCCAGCUACUCAAAGGCUCUAAAAUUCCAAAAACAAACCUUAAAAAAAACUAAUCCUAAUGAGCAUCCGGUAAUCCUGCUAGGACCUGAAAUAGCCCUUUAAGUGGCCUCCAAAAUAUAACUCAAAAAUCAAUAAUGAGAAACAUGGACCACUAAGGGAUGAUGAAAAACCGAGCAAAAAUGGAUUUAAACACAUGCUAAAAAAAGAGUGGGGUGAGAGAAAAAAUAAUAAUAAUAAAAUAUGUGUGUUAGGGCCAAAAUAGAGGGUCUAUAGUGUUUUUGCUAAAUAAUAAAAACCUAUUUGAGCAUAUGAUUUACAAACAAAUUUGUUUUUAAAAAAAUUGUAUCACUCUUUGAUUAUUGUGCUCUAUAAACAAAACAAAACAAAAACCAUUUUUUUUUACUAGAGAUUCAAAUUAAGGAAGACUUUUUAUUAAAUUUAUUAAUAAGUUUAAUAAUUUUUUAAAAGAAAAUUUGAAACUCAAAAAAUAUAUAUAAGGAUUAUAAAAAAUAAUGGAAAUAAUUAAUAUUUUGAAUUCUUUAAUAAACAUUUUAAUUUUUAAUAAUAAUUUGAAAUUCAUAAAACUAAUUUAUUAAUUAUAAAUUAAAUAAAAAAUUUAAGAAUACCAUGUUUGAGUAUUAAAUGUAUGUAUGUAAUGAAAAAUUUGACUCAUUUAUACUUAAAAAAUUAAAAUUUAUUUAAUUUUAAAUUCAUUUAAAAUAAAUUAGUAUUAGCAAUUAUUAAUUUUGAAUUAUUAUUAUUAUUAUUUAUUAACAAAAUAAAUCAAUUAUGUUUUCAUAUUUUUAUAAUAUUUAUAAAAAUAUAAUUUGUGAUUUUAUUAUAAUAUUACUAUUAAUAUUUUAUUUAAAAUAUUUAUUUUUAAUUUUUUAAUAAAAAAUAUUUUUUAUUUUUAAUAAGGCACAAAUUAAAUUUAGUUUAUAUCAUAUAACUUGAAUUUACAAUUUGUUUCUUAUAAAAUCAAAAUAAAAAAUUAUUUUUAAAAACAACUUAUCAAUAAAAGGUUUAGAUUUUAAAAUUUUUGAAAAAUAUCUUUAAAAAUAAAUUGUAUUAUAGAAUCAAAGUACCUCCUACUAAGUAUAAGAUGAAAUAUCAUUUAUAAGUAAAAUUUCAUUUCCUUUGAAAUUAUUUUUAUAUCAUUAUCAUCAACACUUGAGUUAUCUAAAUAUAGAAAUGAAUGUGAAAAGGAAUAACAUAUCUAUUCUCACUCUUCAUUCCCACAUAUCAAACAUAACCUCAAGAUAUGACCAUUUAGUUUUGUUUACAUCAUUUUCUUUAAAAGAGAAAAUAAAAAUAAAUAAAUAAAAAAAUUAAAAAAAUGGAUCCUAGUUUGUAGGUACUUGAAAUAAAGAUGGAUUUUAGUCUCAAAUUAAUAUAAAAUAUAUAUUUUAACAAUUAGAUUUUAAACAUCUUUUAAGUGUGUGAUAAUAAAGCGUUUAAUGGAACUAGCACGCAUGAAUGGUAGUUAUUUCAUAUAAAAUAAUGCAAAACAUGCCUUUAUUAUUAUUAUUAUUAUUAUUUUUAAUUUCUUGUGUCUUUUUUUUUCACCAACAAAUAUUUAAGAAAAGAAAUUCUUUUUCUUUUGACCUUUUCUACCCACACAACAUUUCCUUGGAUAAAUAUUAAUAAAAUAUUGUUUUAUAUUAAUAUUAAGAUAAUAGAAAACAAUAUUUACAAAUUAUAGAUGUAAAUUGUUCUAUUGUGCAUUGCAAUAUUAUAUUUUUAUUUUCUUGGGGUGAAAUAGGAAGUUUCUUUUUUUGACAAUAAUUUUUAUUUUUCUCUAAACAAUUAUGUCCAUAUAAAAUAAUUUUGUGAAAAAUCACAAUAAGGAAUAAAUGAUUUAAAAAUGUAUACAAUUCUAACCAAUUUCAAUUAUAUUUAUUUAUUUUUUUCAUAUUUUUCACAAUGAAACCAAACAUGAUAAAGCCAUUUUUCUUGAUAUUUUUUUUAUUUUUUCCUUGGUACUUUUGGGGAACCAAACAUAAGUUUAAUGCUUUAGGAGGUGAAAAAAAAAAUUGUAGCGCAAUCCACAAUUAACUAGGAUAUAUACUUGUUCCCAUGUGCUUGGUACAAGGCACCAAGUAUAAUUAUAUGAAAUCCUCAAUCUACUGCAUAAGAUUCAAUUUUAUAAAGUUCUUGCUACUGAUAUAGGUAAACAACAAUUUAUAUAUGCUUGAAUUAAUUCCUUAAGUCAAUGGUUAACACCCAUGACAUAUUUUUAGUUCCUUGAUGAUUAUGUUAUAAUAUGAACAUUUUAAAAGCAUGAUUCUAGCUUCAUUAGCAUGAACUACAUCUAAUGAUAUGUGAUUCCCUAUCACUAUGUUUGGUUCCAAGGAAGAAAAAUCCUCAUGAAAAGGAUUUUCUCAUGAAAAAAAUCCAAGAAAUUAUGAAGGACCAUGAAAAUGAUUCUUGGAAAUCAAACACAACCUCGUGAAAUAUACUUGCAUUAAUAAUUAUAUUAUUUGUUUGUUGUACUAUAUUUAUGAAAUUGAAAUCUUGCUUUUUAUAAUUUAUCUUUAGGUGGAAACCCUAAGGACAAUGAGGAGAAGUUAAUCUCAAGAUGCAAGUGUGAUUCUGAAUGUUGCUAAGGUGGUCUACUCUUGCAUAUGAAGUUAAUCUCAAGAUGCAAGUGAGAUUCUGAAUGUUGCUAAGGUGGUCUACUCUUACAUAUGAUCAGUCUCGCUUAUUUUCAUGACCAUAAGGAAAGAUGCUACAUUGAAAGUGUGAAUUAGGAAUGUUGAAAAAUGAAAACUUGAAUUGAUAUAUGUUUUUGCCUCUAAGAUGUGUGGUUAUAGGCAAUUUUCGUGGGUAUGUAAUUAACCUUAAUGUUGCAUAUGAAGCAUAUCACCCUCUAUAUAUCUUUUUAACUGGUUGGAGCUCUUAUAGAAGGUGAAAGACAAGUGUCACAUAUUUAAGUAUUUCUAAAACUCUCAUGCGGUACUUAGAUAAUUCAAGUCGCUUGAAAUUACUAAGUCCUUUAGGUUGUGAAAAAGGUCUCUAUCACAUUUCGCACAUAUUAUGACCAUCACAUUUUAACUCAAGUGUUUAUUUUAAAAUACUUUUGCAUUAAACUCCUUUCCGAAAGCAUUAAAUUAAUACCAUUCUCUAAUCUUCCACGACUUGGUUUGUCAACUUCGGGUUAUUACCCUCUAGAGCCAACUUUCAACUUAAUCAAUCCAACACAAUUGUUAUUGAUUCAUGGUUAAUUAACAAAUUCUCUAAUGUUAUGAUUGGUUUUUGAAAAAUUGGAGGCAAAAGAAAAUAAAGAGAAAAAGUAGAAGAAAAUGAAAUAUGAAGGAAUAUAAAAAUUUAUAUUUAAAGUUAAUAAAUUAUUCUUAUUUUUUAUUUUAAACCCAUUUCACAUACAUAUUAUUUUAAUAAUAUUUUUUUUUCUAUUUUCCAUGGAGAUGCCAAACAUUAAAAAAUUAUUUUCCUUAAUAUUGUUUGGGAAUUAAACAUAACCUAAUUACUUAUCAUUGUGUAAAUAGCUUAAGAUACCAAUAAUACUAUUGUUGUUGUGAGAAUAGUUUAAGAUACUAAUAAUACUUCUUAAUAGAUACCAUAUACGUGUGUGGAAUAUUCAUGGUUCAAUAUUGUCACUACCUUACAAUUGUGGACUCCAAUUGAAUAUUAUGUGUUAGCCCAAGGGUUCUCCUAAUCGGGUUUUGAUGAUAACAAACCAUGGUUAAGUGACUAAUUGUUUUAAAUGGUAAAGAAUCUCAGGUAUAAAUUCGGAAAUUCAUCCAAUGACCAAAUGGAUACAAGAUCGAGACUAUUGGAAGUCCCUUGAUCAUAGGAAACAAAUGUAAGAUGAAUGCAUGGGUGCACUUAAGGUUUUCAUACCACUUCAUGCAUCUUUGAAAAACUCGGUUUAUCCUUUAAACUUUCAAAUUCAUUAAAACCCAAGUUUUUAUCAAAUGUACCUUAGACAAAAUGUUUUAAAUUGGCAUAUUAAUUCACCUAAAGACCUUGCCUAAGUAUUAGAAAAGAAAUGAAUUUAAAAAGGUUGGCUUUCAGGGCCAAAAGGCUGAACCGGUCGAGGCUAUGACCAACUGGCUCAACCAGUUGGGGAACCGGUCGACCGGUUGCCCUUGUCCGAUCAAGGUUUGGUUGAGGAGUGUCAAAAACACUCUCUCUCAUCCAGUAGCAUUCUCUUCCCGGUUGAGGUUCACCCCCUUCCCUAUCGAGGUCCGAUCGAGGUUCGGUCGAGGCAACGGUAACCUGUCAAAGCAUUUAAUGCCUAACGGUUAGUGAUCGGGUCGACCCUUAGCUCGAUCGGUCGAGGGUACCUUUUGCUGUUUUUGACUCCCGAGCUUAGAAACCUAUAAAUUGAGAGCUCCACUUCAUUUAUGAAUAGAGAGAACACUUGCAAUCAAUUGUCUACCUACAUGUUCUUGAUCAAAAAGCUCUCAUUUCUUUCUUAGUGCAUUAAAUCAUCACUUGCAUACUCCUUAGUGCACCUUUGUGAGUCAUCCUAGCCUUGUUUUGUAUUUGAUCUAUCUUUGAUCUAGGUUGAGUGUUUCAUUCUUGUAAAAACCAAGUGUUUAAGCCUUCAAGAGGUGUGAUUCUUGAAGAGAUUGUGUAAGAGCCCAUUGGAGCCGGAAUCCAAGUGUAAGAAGAUUAGAAACUUGGUUGAAGCUUCAAGUUAGUGGAACCCUCACUCGGUUAGGAGAUUGAGGAGAGUGGACGUAGGCAAGGAAGUGUCGAACCACUAUAAAACCUGAGUUUGAAUUCUCUAACUCUAUCUCUUUACUUUCGUUUAUAUUGUGCUUGAACUUGUUGUGAUUGAAAAGAUUUUUUAAAAACCCAAUUCACCCCCCUCUUGGGUGUUUUUCUUAAUUAAGCAUAACCUUUAUUUUCUCAUUAUGAAUUAAUGAUGCGAUCUUUCUUCAAACAAAUAUUGUCAGUUAAGUUAAAAUGGUUGAAUUAUUUCAAUAGGUCAAACCUCAAUAUUCCAAAUAUUUCUACUUAGAUUAAUUAAGGUCUUCAUGAGUUGACUUUAAUUCUUUGCUUCUAAAUUUCAUCUCUUAAGGUAUCUUAGAUGCUUCCCUGUUUUACUUAGUCUUGUAAUUGAUUAGGAGAUUAUUGUAGACCAAAUGAUAUGCAAAUUAUUUCUUUUAUAGAUGUUUUUCACUUGCUUUAGAGCUAAGAUUUUAUAAACUAGUUUUUGUCUUCUUUUUUUUUUUAACUUUUUAUUUUCUUAUUCUAGAACACCCCAAAUAUAUAUUGUCAUGAACUUUCAAGGAAUAAAGUCAUUUGGUUUUUAUUGUGUUAUUUUCUUUAAAAGAGAAACUAAAAAGGGAAAGAUCCUAGUAUGUAGUUGAAAUAAAGAAGGAUUUUGGUCUAAAAUUAACAUAAAAAAAUAUUUUGACAAUGUGAUUUUAAAUAUCUUUUAGGCGGUGUUUGGCAAACUAACUUAAUAAUUUAAUAUAAAUUAAUAGCUUAAUUUGUUAUUAAGUAGAUUAACCAUGUUUGGUAAAAUAACAUAAUAUUAUAACAUAAAGUUAGUAUUAAGCCAAAAUAAUCAACUUGAUGAUGUUUGAUAAAUUGAUUUAAUGACUUAAUAUGACUUAAUAACUUAAUUUAAGUCAUUGAAAAGAUUAAGCAUGAUUGGUAAAAUAACUUAAUAUUACAAUUUGAAGUAAUAAUCCAAAAGGGUUAAUUUCAUUGAGACCUUAUGAGGUUUGCUGCAAAUGCACCCGACCAUCAUUGGUUUCAAAUUUCAUCAAUUGGCACAUCUAUAAAUUUAUUUCAUUUAUUUUUUGAGAAAUCUCAGGUAAAACUAUUUUAGAUAUGAGUUUUUAACAAUUCACUAAAACCUAAAUUUUAUUCUUUUAAAAAUAAAAUUUAUAUAUAAAAUACAUUUACAAAGGUGCUAACUAAUGAAAUUUAAAACCUACGGUAAACUUGAAGGAGCCUCAAUAAAAUUAACCUAAGUCAAAAUAGUGAACUUAUUUUUAAUCUCAAAUCCUUUUUACCUUAUUUGCCUAAAUUUAUGAUUUAUUUUUUAUAAUAAAUAUUUUAUGAUUGUAUUAUGCACAAUACUUUAAAUAUGAAUAUUUAAUAAAAAAAUUUAUUAUCUAAGAUUAGUGAAAAUAUAGAUAUUAGUUAAAAUUAAUAGGGGUAAAUAGGUCAAUUUGACAACAUAGAAUAAAUCUUAAAUUAACUUUACCAAAUAAUUUUAAUACUUAAGGAAAAAAAAUAAGUAAUAAAUUUUAAGUUAACAACUUAAGAACCAUUUAACUUAAACUCAACUUAAGUUGUUAAGUAAUAAGUGUUAAGUUUUACCAAAUAAAGCUUUUAAAGGAAUUAUUAAAUCAAAAGACAAAUAUUAAAAUAUAAAAAAUGAGAAAGAAAAAAAAUAUAAAAAGGAACAUGCACAAUGCAAAUAGAACAACAGUGCAAAACAUCUAUUUUUAUUUGUUUUUUUUUUAAAUCUCUCUCCCUCACUCUCUCUCUCUCUCCAAUAACAAAUAUUUAAGAAAAAAAUAUAUGAUGGUACAACAAACUUAAGAUAAUUCAUAACAUCAAUAAUAUAAUACAAAAUUGAUAUAUAGGUCUCUUUUCUUUGUCCUUUUACCUUUUCUACCCCCACACAACCUUUUGGUGCCAUAAAUAUAACUAAAAAAUUAUUUUAAUAUUAAGAUGACAAAAACUAAUAUUUAAAAAAUUAUAGAUUUUCAUCUUUCCCAAGAAAAAUUUGAAAACACGAAAUUUAUGUUUUUAGAUUUCCUAUUUUUAAAACUCUAGUUACUGAAAAAUUGAUUUAUGUUUUCCUUUAUAUAGUUUUCAUUUUUGAAAAGUAUUUUCACUUCUUUUGAUUUAAGACAUUUUCAAGAUAAGAAAAAAAGAAGAAGCUAAUUUUAGAAAAUGAAAAUAAAAUAAAGAGAUUGUGGACCCCGCAUUUUUCACAAUGCGUUCCCACUCGAUGGCGAUUCACUUUUUUAUUUAUUUAGUGAAAAAUUUUGAUUUUUAGAAAAAUACUUGAAGCAUAUUUCACAGGAGCGGGUGAGGGCUUGGUUGACUCAUACACCGUUUGAUUAUCCUAUUCGCCCAUACACCAUGAGCCUAGUUGAUUACUUCGUGAGGGCGUCGGAGCCACUGACCCAAUCAGACGGGAUCAUUGGGGGACUUAGUACCACUCAGGAGGCCGAGCUUCAGCACCUCGUUCGCCAACUACAUUUGAGUGAUGGAGCCCCUGGUACUUCAUCAUCUGUGUAGACCGCCCAUGCCUCUCCAGACCGCAUAAGCCUUAUGAUGCUCUAUUUCCCUGAUGAGAUCAACGAGCACGGGACAUUUGCUGAGGUAGGAAAUAUAGUAGAUGGAGCCACCCCACAUGAUGAGUACGUCGAUGAGAUGCUCGCAAUGAUCUUAGGUCAAAUCGAGGAUGUAGUUCAGCCGAGGCUCGCCUCACCGUUCGAUCUUUUCGAGGUGUCCAUCAUCGAGAUUGCUGAGGAGAUCCGGACUUCCCCUGCUCCAGAGUCUGCUGAGGAUGUCAUAGCUAGUGAUGAUUUGUCUGAUGGACAUGUUGGCUUUGUUGAGGGAGCGUCCAACUUUGUAGACCCACCUAUUUCCUUUGAUGUUUUAUAGGGAUUUGUCUCCCGUUUUGACGAUGUUCAUGACUCUUUAUUUAUGGAUUUGAGCAUUUUCGAGUAUCUGCCUAUCUCUUGUGAUAUUAUUUUAUCUGCACCAUCUUCACCCACGUCACAGAUAUUUGACAUUGAUGAUGAGAUUGUGCAACAUGAUUCAGACGAUGACUCAUUCUUCGUUUUCGAUUCGGAUCCCAUUGAUCAGAGAGUUGCACCUGUCCCAAGGGACACGGAGGUUGUUGAUUUCGACACAGCAGACCAACCUAGGGAGUUGAGGAUCGGGUCGGAUUUGUCUACAGAUCAGAAAGAUAGCCUCACCCAACUGCUCAUAUCAUACUUGGACAUUUUCGUAUGAUCCUAUGACGACAUGCUGGGCCUUGAUCCAUUUAUUGUCUAGCAUCGUUUGUCAUUUCUGCCCCAUGCCAGACCGGUUAAGCAGAAGUUGAGACGAUUGCACCCUCGUUGGAGCUUGCAAGUGAAUGAGGAGAUUCAAAAGCAGCUUAGUGUGGGAUUUCUAUCAGUGGUCGAGUACCCGGAGUGGAUGGCCAAUGUAGUCCCUAUUCCCAAAAAGGACUGCAAGGUGAGAGUCUGUACAUUGACAUGCUAAGGAUCCGAGAUCUCAAUAAGGCCAGUCCUAAGGAUGAUUUUCCUCUCCCGUACAUUGACAUGCUAGUUGACAGUACAGUAGGUCACUCGAUGUUGUCCUUUAUGGACAGAUUUUUCGGGUACAGUAAGAUCUUGAUGGCUCCAGAGGAUAUGGAGAAGACGUCCUUCAUUACCGAGUGGGGUACUUAUUGCUAUAGAGUUAUGCCAUUCGAAUUGAAGAACGCAAGAGACACCUAUCAGAGAGCAGCAACCACCCUCUUCCAUGACAUGAUACAUCGGGAUGUCGAGGUUUAUGUAGACGACAUGAUAGUGAAAUCCUGAGAUAGAUCAGAUAAUCUAAUAGCUCUAGAAAGAUUCUUUGAGAGGAUCAGGCAGUUCAGGUUGAGACUAAAACCCAAAAAAUGCACUUUUGGAGUGACUUCUGGGAAACUCUUGGGAUAUAUGGUCAGUGAGAGAGGCAUAGAGGUAGAUCUGGAUAAGAUCAGAGCCAUCCUUGACAUGCCUACACCGAGGACAGAGAGAGAGGUCAGAGGCUUCUUGGGUAGACUUCAGUAUAUCAGCAGAUUCAUUGCUAGAUUGACAGACAUCUGUGAGCCCAUUUUUCGACUCUUGAGGAAGAGACAACCUGUUGUUUGGGAUGAUCAAUGUCAACGCGCGUUUGAGAGGAUCAGAGAGUACUUGUUGUCUCCUCCAGUCUUGGCGCCUCCUACACCAGGUUGUCCUUUACUCCUAUACCUAUCCAUCUCAAACGUAGCAUUGGGUUGCAUGUUGGCUUGCUCGAUGAUUUGGGCAAAGACUGAGCCAUUUAUUAUCUGAGUAAGAGGAUGCUAGAUUAUGAGAUGAGAUAUGCCAUGAUUGAGAGCUAUUGCUUGGCAUUGCUUUGGGUCACUCACCGACUGAGACAUUACAUGACCGAGUAUUUAGUACAUUUGAUAUCCUGUUUAGAUCCUUUAAGAUACUUGUUUGACAGACCCGCCUUGGUUGGUCGCCUCAUGAGAUGGUUGGUACUUCUGACUGAGUUUGACAUCCAUUAUGUCACUCAAAAGUCCAUCAGAGGGAGCAUUAUUGUAGAUCACUUAGCCUCAUUACCAGUUUCUGAUGGUAUAGCUAUUGAUGAUGAUUUUCUAGACAAGGAUGUUGCUGCUGUGACUAGUCUAUCAGGUUGGUGCAUGUACUUUGAUGGUACAACCAACCAUUCUAGAUACGGGAUAGGCGUCUUGUUGAUAUCCCUUAUGGUGAUCACAUUCCCAGAUCUGUUCGUUUGACAUUCUCAGAUCGACAUCCGGCCACGAACAACAUUGUUGAGUAUGAAGCCUAUAUCUUGGGAUUAGAGACAGCCAUUGAGCCUAGGAUUAGACAGAUGGAGGUGUUUGGCGACUCCAAUCUGGUAUUGAGAUAGAUUCAGGGUGAGUGGAAGACUAGAGAUGCGAAGCUUAGGCCCUAUCACUAUGUUUGGUUCCAAGGAAGAAAAAUCCUCAUGAAAAGGAUUUUCUCAUGAAAAAAUCCAAGAAAUUAUGAAGGAGCAUGAAUAUGAUUCUUAGAAAUCAAACACAACCUCGUGAAAUAUACUUGCAUUAAUAAUUAUAUUAUUUGUUUGUUGUACUAUAUUUAUGAAAUUGAAAUCUUGCUUUUUAUAAUUUAUCUUUAGGUGGAAACCCCAAGGACAAUGAGAAGAGGUUAAUUUCAAGAUGCAAGUGAGAUUCUGAAUGUUGCAUUAACAACAUUGUUGAGUAUGAGGCCUAUAUCUUGGGAUUAGAGAUAGCCAUUGAGCCCGGGAUUAGACGGAUGGAGGUGUUUGGCGACUCUAAUCUAGUAUUGAGACAGAUUCAGGGUGAGUGGAAGACUAGAGAUGCGAAGCUUAGGCCCUAUCACUAUGUUUGGUUCCAAGGAAGAAAAAUCCUCAUGAAAAGGAUUUUCUCAUGAAAAAAUCCAAGAAAUUAUGAAGGACCAUGAAAAUGAUUCUUGGAAAUCAAACACAACCUCGUGAAAUAUACUUGCAUUAAUAAUUAUAUUAUUUGUUUGUUGUACUAUAUUUAUGAAAUUGAAAUCUUGCUUUUUAUAAUUUAUCUUUAGGUGGAAACCCCAAGGACAAUGAGAAGAAGUUAAUUUCAAGAUGCAAGUGAGAUUCUAAAUGUUGCUAAGGUGGUCCACUCUUGCAUAUGAAGUUAAUCUCAAGAUGCAAGUGAGAUUCUUAAUGUUGCUAAGGUGGUCUACUCUUACAUAUGAUUAGUCUCGCUAACGUUCAUGACCAUAAGGAAAGAUGCUACAUUGAAAGUGUGAAUUCGGAAUGUUGAAAAAUGAAAACUUGAAUUGAUAUAUGUUUUUGCCUAUAAGAUGUGUGGUUAUAAGCAAUUUUUGUGGGUAUGUAAUUAACCUUAAUGUUGCAUAUGAAGCAUAUCACCCUCUAUAUAUCUUUUUAACUGGUUGGAGCUCUUAUAGAAGGUGAAAGGCAAGUGUCACAGAUUUAAGUAUUUCCGAAACUCUCAUGCGGUACUUAGAUAAUUCAAGUCGCUUGAAAUUACUAAGUCCUUUAGGUUGUGAAAAAGGUCUUUAUCACAUUUCGCACAUAUUAUGACCAUCACAUUUUAACUCAAAUGUUUAUUUUAAAAUACUUUUGCAUUGAACUCCUUUCCAAAAGCAUUAAAUUAAUACCAUUCUCUAAUCUUCCAUGGCUUGGUUUGUCAACUUCAGGUCAUUACCCUCUAGAGCCAACUUUCAACUUAAUCAAUCCAACACAAUUGUUAUUGAUUCAUGGUCAAUUAACAAAUUCUCUAAUGUUAUGAUUGGUUUUUGAAAAUUUUGAUGAAAAGAAAAUAAAGAGAAAAAAAUAUAAGAAAAGGAAAUAUGAAGGAAUAUAAAAAUUUAUAUUUAAAGUUAAUAAAUUAUUCUUAUUUUUUAUUAUAAACCCAUUUCACAUACAUAUAAUUUUAAUAAUAUUUAAUUUUUUUUUCUAUUUCCAUGGAGAUGCCAAACAUUAAAAAAUUAUUUUCCUUAAUAUUGUUUGGGAAUUAAACAUAACCUAAUUACUUAUCAUUGUGCAAAUAGCUUAAGAUACCAAUAAUAUUAUUGUUGUUGUGAGAAUAGUUUAAGAUACUAAUAAUACUUCUUAAUAGAUACCGUAUACGUGUGUGGAAUAUUCAUGGUUCAAUAUUGUCACUACCUUACAAUUGUGGACUCCAAUUGAAUAUUAUGCAUUAAUGAUGUGAUCUUUCUUCAAACAAAUAUUGUCAAUUAAGUUAAAAUGGUUGAAUUAUUUCAAUAGGUCAGACCUCAAUAUUCCAAAUAUUUCUACUUAGAUUUAUUAGGGUCUUCAUGAGUUGACUUUAAUCCUUUGCUUCUAAAUUUCAUCUAUUAAGGUAUCUUAGAUGCUUCCCUGUUUUACUUAGUCUUGUAAUUGAUUAGGAGAUUAUUGUAGACCAAAUGAUAUGCAAAGUAUUUCUUUUAUAGAUGUUUUUUUCACUUGCUUUAGAGCUAAGAUUUUAUAAACUAGUUUUUGUCUCUCUUUUUUUAACUUUUUAUUUUCUUAUUCUAGAACACCCCAAUUAUAUCUUGUCAUGAACUUUCAAGGAAUAAAGUCAUUUGAUUUUGAUUGUGUUAUUUUCUUUAAAAGAGAAACUAAAAAGAGAAAUAUCCUCCUAGUAUGUAGUUGAAAUAAAGGAGGAUUUUGGUCUAAAAUUAACAUAAAAAUAAAAAUAAAAAUUGACAAUGUGAUUUUAAAUAUCUUUUAGGCAGUGUUUGGUAAACUAACUUAAUAAUUUAAUGUAACUUAAUAGCUUAAUUUGUUUUUAAUUAGAUUAACCAUAUUUGGUAAAAUAACAUAAUAUUAUAACAUAAAGUUAGUAUUAAGCCAAAAUAAUCAACUUGAGGAUGUUUGAUAAAUCGAUUUAAUGAUUUAAUAACUUAAUUUAAGUCAUUGAAAAGAUUAAGCAUGGUUGGUAAAAUAACUUAAUAUUACAAUUUAAAGUAAUAAUCCAAAAGGGUUAAUUUCAUUGAAACCCCAUGAGGUUUGCUGCAAAUACACCCGACCAUCAUUGGUUUCAAAUUUCAGCAAUUAGCACACCUAUAAAUUUAUUUCAUUUAUAAAAUUUAUCUUUUGAGAAAUCUCAGGUAAAACUAUUUUAGAUAUGAGUUUUUAAUAAUUCACUAAAACCUAAAUUUUAUUCUCUAAAAAAUAAAAUUUAUAUAUAAAAUACAUUUACAAGGGUGCUAACUGACGAAAUUUGAAACCUACGGUAAACCUGAAGGAGCCUCACUAAAUUUAACCUAAGUCAAAAUAGUGAACUUAUUUUUAAUCUCAAAUCUCACCUUAUUUGCCUACAUUUAUGAUUCAUUUUUUAUAAUAAAUAUUUUAUGAUUGUAUUAUGUACAAUACUUUAAAUAUGAAUAUUUAAUAAUUUUUUUUUAUUAUUUAAGAUUAGUGAAAAUAUAGUUAUUAGUUAAAAUUAAUAGGGGUAAAUAAGUCAAUUUGACAACUUAGAAUAAAUCUUAAAUUAACUUUACCAAAUAAUUUUAAUACUUAAAAAAAAAAGUAAUAAGUUAACAACUUAAGAACUAUUUAACUUAAAGUCAACUUAAGUCAUUAAGUAAUAAGUGUUAAGUUUUACCAAAUAAAGCUUUUAAAGGAAUUAUUAAAUCAAAAGACAAAUAUUAAAAUAUAAAAAAUGAGAAAGAAAAAAAAUAUAAAAAGGAACAUGCACAACGCAAAUAGAACAAUAGUGCAAAACAUCUCUUUUUAUUUGUUUUUUUAAAUCUCUCUCUCUCUCUCUCUCUCUCUCCAACAACAAAUAUUUAAGAAAAAAAUUAUUGGAUGGUACAACAAACUUAAGAUAAUUUAUAACAUCAAUAAUAUAAUACGAAAUUAAUAUAUAGGUCUCUUUUCUUUGUCCUUUUACCUUUUCUACCCCAACACAACCCUUUUGGUGCCAUAAAUAUAACUAAAAAAUUAUUUUAAUAUUAAGAUGACAUAAACUAAUAUUUAAACAAUUAUAGAUUUUCAUCUUUCUUAAGAAAAAUUUGAAAACAAGAAAUUUAUGUUUUCAUAUUUUCUAUUUUUAAAACCCUAGUUACUAAAAAAUUGAUUUAUGUUUUCCUUUUUAUAGUUUUCAUUUUUGAAAAACUAUUUUCACUUCUUUUGAUUUAAGACAUUUUCAAGAUAAGGAAAAAAGAAGAAACUAAUUUUAGAAAAUGAAAAUAAAAUAAAGACAUUAUGAACCUUGUAUUUUUCACGAUGCAUUCCCACUCAAUGACGACUCGCUUUUUUUAUUUGUUUGGUGAAAAAAAAUUGAUUUUUAGAAAAAGACUUGGAGUCACCACUUAUUUAAUUUUUUUUUAAAAGGGAAAAACAACAUAAGAAAGAAAAACCCUAAUUGUGACUCUUGAAGGAAAAACAAGUUUAUAAAAAACCAAAUCUGGGCUCGAGGGUCAGGUUACUUAUUGGGAAGGUACGAUAAAGAUCGUAGCACCCCUCUAAGUCCCUAAAAACAGGUCUCUACUAAUGAGAUGAAACAAACAUGACAAUUGGUAAGUAAAUCAAUGGAUACCAAAAUGAAAUAAUCAAAUAGUAAAGCGAAUCAUGCAUAAGAAUAAGCAAAGUGGGAAUGAGAUCGUACCUUAGGAGCAAUUAAUAAUGCAAUAUUAUGGAAACAAGGUUAGCUCAAGUAUAAAAUCAUCACAAACAUAUCAAAAAGCAAGACAAAGAUCAAACAAUACUCAUUAAGCAUAAUAGCUGACAAUUAGAAGAAAAAACUCAUAUGUAGGGCCCCUCACCAAAGCGCAAUUUAUUUUGCAUGAAUUAAUAUCACAAAUUCCACUAUUUUGGAAUCAUGAAAAAUUCAUUCAUACUUGUUAAAAAAAAAAAUCAAGAAAACGAAAGAUUAUUUGAAAAUCGAAGAAAAUUUGUGAAUUUAAAAAAAUUGAAAAAUGGAAUGGAAUUAAAACUAUUUGAAAGAAAAUUGGAGUUUUGAAUUAUUUGAAAAUUGAGUCUCGAAAAUUAUUUGAAAAUUGGGGUUUUGAAAAUUAAAUUUAAGAAUUGGAAUUUUGAAAAUUAUUUGACAAUUGGAAUUUUGAGAAUUAAAUUUAAGAAUUAGAAUGUUCGAAAUUAAAUUUUGAAAGAAAUUUGAAUUAUUUGAGGAUUUGAGUUUGAAAUUGGAAUUAUUUGAGGAUUAAAGUUUUGAAAAUUACAUUAAGGAAUUGAAACUUUGGAAACUAAAUUUGAAAUAAAUUAGAAUUUUGAAAAUUAUUUGAGAAUUGGAACUAUGAAAAUUAAAUUAUGAAAAUUGGAAUCUUGGAAAUUAUUUGAAGAUGUAGUUUUUAAAAAUAAAUAAAUAAAAUGAUGAUGACAAUAAUAAUAAUAAUAAUAAAUAAAUGUGAAAAUUGGAAUUUUAGAAAUUGGAAAUUAAAUUUGGAAAUCGGAAUUUUGAAGAAUUAUUUAAAGAUGAAAGUUUUAAAAAUAAACAAAUAAACAAAAUAAUAAUAAUAACGAAAAUAAUGAUGAUUAAAUAAAUAAAUGUGAAAAUUGGAAUUUUGGAAAUUGAAAAUUAAAUUCGGAAAUUGGAAAAUUGGAAUUUCAGAAAUUGAGAAUUAAAUUUGGAAAUUGGAAUUUUGAAGAAUUAUUUAAAGAUGAAAGUUUUAAAAAUAAAUAAAUAAACAAAUAAACAAAAUAAUAAUAAUAACGAAAAUAAUGAUGAUUAAAUAAAUAAAUGUGAAAAUUGGAAUUUUUGAAAUUGAAAAUUGAAUUCGGAAAUUGGAAAAUUGGAAUUUCAGAAAUUGAAAAUUAAAUUUAGAAAUUGGAAUUUUGAAGAAUUAUUUAAAGAUGAAAGUUUUAAAAAUAAAUAAAUAAACAAAAUGAUAAUAAUAACGAAAAUAAUGAUGAUUAAAUAAACAAAUGUGAAAAUUGGAAUUUUGGAAAUUAAAAAAUAAAUUCGGAAAUUUGAAAAUUGGAAUUUCAGAAAUUGAGAAUUAAAUUUGGAAAUCGGAAUUUUUUGAAAUUUUAUUUGAAUAUGGUAUUUCGAAAAAUUAAAUUUUGAAUAUUGAAAUCUGGAAAAUUAUUUUGAGGAAUUAUUUUAAAAAGUAAAUUUGAGAAUAGAAUUUUGGAAUAUUAAAUUUAAAAAAUCGGAAUGUUAGAAAAUUAUUUUGAUAAUGGAAUUUCAGAAAACUAAAUUUCGAAAAUUGGAAUGUUAAAAAAUUAUUCCAAUAUCAAAAUGUGAAGAAAUAAUAAAGAAAGAUGGGUUAUGGUGAUUCUUAGAGCAAAAUUUAUCCAUGUGUUCAAGGUGACAACUAACCCAUUCCAUGUGCUGCCAGCACACCAAAGAAUACCACAAGCCUAUUUCCCAUAUUACAAUAAUGUCAUACAAACCCAUUUUCCAUGUACUACUUGAGAGCAUCACAAACCCAUUUUUUUACAUGAAAAACAAACACCACAUACUACCACCUCUCCACCCAAUCGCCAUUCUCACUACCAUGCACAUGGAGCUUCCAUUUGUUUCAAACUUCUCCCACACCCUCCAUAUUUCUGCACCCCUAUUCCUACCACAUGUUGCCUCUGUCAAGAAGUUAACAACUUGUUUAACAACUUAACAAGUUGUUUAAGUAGUUAACAGUCUGGUUGUUGUAACUAAUUAGAAAGUGGUUAAUAACUGUUUUUUAGAUUCUUGUAUAUAAGAAACAGAGGACCUAACAGUGGGUAGUUUUGCAGUAGCUCAAUUUCAGUUUUUCAUCUUUCUGGUUUUCUCUCAAACAGAUGCUCUGCACAUCUCAUUCUUCAUAUCUCUGAGUUCUUUCUUGGUAUCAGAGCCACAAACUAACAUAUGCAAAUCCUUUUCCAUGGCAUCAAAAGGAUCAGCUUCUUCCACGGAUCAUCCUAACUCCAGUUUUGCUCAUCAUACAAUGCCAUAAUUGAAUCAAGCAUUCACGGUAAGACUCGAUCAAUCAAAUUACUUACUGUGGCGAACUCAGAUGCUGAACAUCAUCAUUGCAAAUGGUCUUGAAGAAAUGAUCCAUGGCAAAAUCCCUGCUCCUUCACGAUUUCUUGGAGAUUCAGAGAACAUAAAUUCAGAAUACAGUAUAUGGCAACGUCAGAAUCGCUUAGUAAUGUGUUGGAUCUAUUCUUCUUUGACAGAAGGUGUGAUGGCACAGAUUAUCGACCUUGAUACUGCAUCAGAAAUCUGGACUGCUCUAGAGAAAAUUUUCUCAGCAGCUUCAAAGGCUCGUAUCAUGCAGUUUCGUUUCCAAUUGUAGAUAACAAAGAAAGGAGGAUUGAGUAUGAUGGAAUAUCUACUCAAAAUCAAGUCCAUUGUAGAUAACCUGCUAGCAAUUAGAGAAAACAUUACAGAGCAAGACCGAAUUCUCUAUUUACUUGCAAGACUCGGAGCAGAGUACAAUUCGUUUGUCAUUACAGUUACCUCUGGGCAUGAACCAUUAAGCCUAGAAGAAAUUCACAGCAUGCUCUUGACUCAUGAAAAUCGAUUGGAACAACAACACACAACAGAAGAAACAAAUCUCCUGCAAGCAAAUAUUACAACAAUGAACAUUCAAGGACACAACAAAAAAAAUCAAAAGUCUGGUCAAUUCAAGACUCAAGGUAGAGGCAAUCAGAAUCAACAACAAUUUAAUCAUCAGAACUUUGGUAGAGGCCGUGGGAGAGGCCACUAUAACAACAAUGGUGGAAAUUUUGGACAUGGUCCAGGAAGAGGUAGCUUUAACAACCAUUCUUACUCAUCUGGAAACUUCAAUAAUGUUUCUGGUGGCAGCAAUGGAAAACCACAGUGCCAAGUAUGUGGUAAAUAUGGUCACAUUGCAAUUAAUUGCUAUCAUAGAUUUGAUCAAACUUAUCAACCAACAAUGAGCAAUCAUCUUGCUGCAAUGGUUGCAACUCCGUCCACUGUUGGAGAUGAAAGCUGGUACAUGGAUACCGGAGCUACGCAUCACCUAACUCCAAAUCUCAACAAAUUGAAUUCACAUACUCCAUUUGCUGGUUCAGACAAAGUCAUGGUUGGAAAUGGUAAUCGUUUAAAUAUCUCAAAUAUUGGACACUCCACUAUUUCUUCAACUUCUCGGUCUUUAAAUCUAAAAAAUAUUUUACAUGUUCCACAACUUACAACCAAUCUGAUAAGUGUGAAUAGGUUGUGUACUGACAAUAAUGUCACUGUGGAAUUCUUUACUAAUGGAUUUGUGGUGAAGGAUUAAGCUUUGAAGAAGGCUCUUCUCCAAGGCAACCUUAACUAUGGCUUAUACAAACUGUCGUCUUCAGCACCUAGUAGAAGAUAUCAAGAUCCUGAUGAUAAUAAACUUGCUGGAAGAACAAGCUUGACAACUGAGGUCCCAUGUAUGUCAUCUACAUUACAACUUUCCAAUAAGGCAGAUCUAUGGCAUUUCAGGUUAGGCCAUCUUGCACGUAAAAUAGUCAAUAAAGUUCUGAGUGCUUGUAGCUUGCCCCUAGAACAUUGGACAGGUGUUUGUGAACCUUGUCAAAUGGCAAAGAGCCAUCGCCUACCUUUUACUUUGUCUGAAUCCAGAGCAUCUCAGCCUUUUGCUCUUGUACAUUCUGAUCUAUGGGGUCCUGCUCCUGUUGUUGGUACUAAUGGUGCAAGAUACUUUGUGCUCUUUGUGGAUGAUCAUACAAGAUUUUCUUGGUUGUAUCUACUAGCUUCUAAAGAUCAAGCUAUCUCUGCAUUUUUGCAAUUUAAAGUGAUGAUUGAGACUCAAUUUGAUACUAAAGUUAGAAUGCUUCAAACUGAUUGGGGAGGAGAGUUUCAAGCCUUUACUAAUACUUUGUGUAAGUUUGGGAU
rnacentral:lncRNA from 1 species